CAUACUACUCAUAGGAAACGACAUUCCAACCCUGCAGGAAGUAAAGUCCUGGCUUGGGAAGUGUUUCGCUAUGAAGGACCUUGGUGAAGCUGCCUAUAUUCUAGGGAUAAGAAUCUUGAGAGAUCGGAGUAAAAGACUAAUUGGACUUAGUCAGAGUACCUACUUGGAUAAGGUGCUGAAGAGAUUCAGCAUGCAAGAUUCCAAGAAAGGAGAGUUACCCAUCCAGAGUAACACUAGACUAAGUAAGACUCAGAGCCCGAGUACUGAGAUAGAGAUAGCUGAAAUGAGUCGUAUAACUUAUGCUUCGGCAGUAGGCUCGAUCAUGUAUGCUAUGACCUGUACUCGUCCUGAUGUAGCCUUUGCUUUAAGCAUGGUUAGCAGGUAUCAGGGGAACCCUGGUAAGGCUCACUGGACAGCGGUAAAGAAUAUUCUCAAGUACCUGCGGAGGACUAAGGACUGGGUCCUUACCCUCGGUGGGAGUGAUGACUUGAGAGUUGUAGGGUAUAGUGAUGCUAGCUUCCAGACUGAUAGGGAUAAUUUCCGCUCUCAGUCGGGCUGGGUCUUUACCCUAAACGGAGGAGCAAUUUCUUGGAAGAGUUCCAAGCAAGAGACAGUGGCAGAUUCUACUUGUGAAUCAGAGUAUAUUGCAGCUAGCGAGGCAGCAAAGGAGGCUAUAUGGCUGAAGAACUUCAUUGGAGACCUUGGAGUUGUACCAGCUAUUAAAGAGCCAAUGGAAAUUUUCUGUGAUAGUGAAAGUGCUGUUGCCUUAGCCAAGGAACCAAGGGAUCAUGGGAGAUCCAGACACAUUGACAAAAAAUAUCAUUUCAUCAGACAUCGUAUAGAAGAAGGACUCCUCAUGGCAAAGAGGGUAUCAUCAGAUGAGAACCCGGCAGAUCCCCUCACGAAGGGACUGGGUAGGGUUAAGCAUCUCCAGCAUGCUAGGAGCAUAGGGCUGAAGGAUGAUAUAAGUUAUAGUAGUUAGAUAAUUCUGAAAUAUGUAAAAUGUAUUUGACAUUUGAUGAUUAAUAAAAGUUGUGUUUAUUCAUGAGUAAAGUGUUGCUAUCUUUUGUCAAUCGUUUACUAUUAUUUCUUUUGCAUGUUUUGACUGCCCAAAUACUUAUGUUGUGUUUUUACAUAUUAUUCAAAUUAUCCAUAUUCGGUCAUAUGUCGGGAGUAGAUAUGAAUUAAGAUUGUCAUGAGUUGGUUGUAGAGGUCUAAGGUAUUGGACAUGGCCUCAACACUCAUGAGUGCUCAUAAGUUCUGAGUAUUGGAUUCAACCCAUGCUCGCUGGUAUCACUUCAUGGAAUUUAUCUCGAGUGAUCGCGAGACGGUAAUAUCAUAUAAGUCUUCAAACCUAGAGAUAUGACUUGUUAACUAUGAGUUAGUUAUGCAUUGAUCAUGCGAAAACGCAUUGGUAACUCGAUGUUAUAAAACGNAGUAGUAGAACAAACAUAUGAGUCGAAGUUUAUCUGUUCCUUCUUGGAUUAGAAGCUGAUAUCUGGGCCCCUCGAUGAUUUUGUUUUGACCUAUGUACCGGGCCCGGUCAGAACUAAGUUGAUGUGUUCAAUUAAGUUCUAUGUCAAACAAAUCGGUAAUCGGGAAACAAACUGCUGGACAAUAAGCAAGACCAUGUUCCAUGUGUUUGUCCGGCUUAUAUCUAGAACAGAGGAUUCUAUGAUCCCUUAUCUGAAAUGGCGUACCAUCGUCUUCUCAGUUCCGAGAAACCUUGAAAAGAGCUACGAUUGCCGAUCGGUUCCUGAAGUCAUACUUGCAGUUAUAGUUAUUAGACUUAUCCAUGUGGGAGAUUAUUUGAUAAGGUGUCUAACUCCAUAACUAUUUCUGGUAUGUACUUGACCCGACCCGGCAUGGUCCAUUUGGGUUGCAUGGCACCAUGCAAUUGGAUAGACUAAAUAAGAGAAAUAACACUUGUGGUUUAUUAAUAUAUUAUAAGUUCUGAUAUAUUAAUAAUAUUAUUUAAUUAGUUUGAUCAAGAAUUAAUUAAGUGAUCAAAAGAUAACUAAUUAAAUAUGUGGGUUGAUUAUGUAAAUCAUCCAUAACUUAUAUAGUGGGCUAAGAGGCUCCAUGGAUAAUCAAGUUGGGUUGAACCCAUUGGAUGCUCCAUGGAGGCUCCAUGGGAGUUACAAACCCAUGGGUCAUGGAAAUGAAGAGUCUUGACACAUUAGGGUUUACAUGGUGUAACCCUAAAUGUGUCAACACUAUAUAAAGCUCAUGUUUCUCCCAAAAUCGGGUACACAUGCAUGCUUGAGGGCUAGAGCCGUUUUUUAGAGUGUUAUACUUUCUCUCCAAGUUUACUCCAUAGCAUUUGGUGUUGUGUAAAGCAUUUGAGGCAUCACACUUGGAGUGCUAGGCUCACAAGGUUUCAAGGAUCAAAAUCAACAACAAGGUAUGUAGUUCUAUCUUUCAUUUAAGUUAAAAUUGUUCCCCAUGUAUGCUAGAUAGGAUCAUAACCUUGGAAAUCAACUUUGCAUGAGAAUUAGACAAACAUAGAUCCAAGGUUAUUAGGGUUGCAUGUACACUUAGGAAGUGUUAGAAUGCUCAAAACCCAUCAAUCUUUUCGUAAGAAAGUUGGGAAUCGUCUAAUGCUUGUUCAAAUUUAUGUUGAUGAUAUUGUUUUUGGCUCUACUAACCCAACUUUGUCUAGAGAAUUUGAAAAUCUGAUGAAAAGUCAAUUUGAAAUGAGCAUGAUGGAUAAAAUCAAUAAUUUUCUUGGUUUGAAUAUUCGACAAAGCAGAGAAGGAAUUUUCAUCAAUAAAGAGAAAUACACGAAGAAUUUGCUUUAGAAGUUUUGAAUGACUCACAGCACAAAGCUACGAGUGCCAAUGGCAGUAGGAAUGAAGUUAACACCUUCGUUAGAUUCACCUGCUGUUGAUCUUACAUUGUUUCGAAGCAUGAUAGGUUCUCUACUUUAUUUAGCUGCAAGUAGACUUGAUAUCAUGUUUUCUGUUUGCAAUUGUGCAAGGUAUCAAGCAAAUCCAAGAGAACCACAUUUAACAGCUGUGAAGAAUAUUUUUUGUUAUCUCAAAGGAGCAGUUUUAUUAGGAUUGUGGUAUCCUUUGAAAUCAGGAUUUUAUAUUCAAGCCUUUUCGGAUGCAGACCUUGGUGGAUGUACUCUCAACAGGAAAAGUACAAGUGGAGGAUGUCAGUUACUAGAUGGGAAGUUGGAGAGUUGGCAGUCGAAGAAACAAACUUUUGUAGCUAUUUCUACUGCUGAAGCUGAAUAUAUUUUUGUUACUGCUUGCACUUCUCAAAUCAUUUGUACUAUGAUUCACAAAGUGCUAUUCGCAUUUGUCAUAAUCCAGUACAACAUUUGAAAACAAAACACAUUGCUCUUCGUUAUCAUUUUAUAAAAGAUCAUGUGGAAGAUGGUAACAUUGAAGUUCAUUUUGUGAAAACUACUGAUCAACUUGCUGAUAUUUUCACUAAACCACUUGAUUAAAAAUAUUUUCUGAGAAUUUUUGCAGGUUUGGGAAUGUUAGAUGCGAAUUCAGUACCAGGAUCAAAUAUUCAAGAUUAACGAAAUUAUGUUGGUGAAAAAUGUGUCGAUUCAGAGGCUUGUCGUAUUAACCAUUCAGAAGUUACUGUGCAUUAAGAGGCUUAGAAACGCUUCGUUUUCGUAUAUUGUAACUAAAACUUUUCACGUGUUUGGUAACAUCAUUUCAUUUCAUUAGUUUAGCAUUUGUUCAUUGAAAAACUGAAAAAUCAAAAAUAUUUUUAUUUCUUUGCGUUAAUUUUCGAAAGUUCAAAAGCAGCAAAAAGAUUUUCUUUUGUUAUUUGUUUUCAUUUCGAAAAAUUUAAAAUCACAAAAAUAUUGUAUUUCUUUUCAAAAAUAUAAAAUCACAAAAACAUUUUUGUUACUUUGUUAUUUUUUAGGUCUUCAAGAAGAUUUUCAUGACAAUUUUCCGAACGAUCAUGCUUAUGUUUCUACGGGAAGGUAAUUUUCUUAAAUCUUUGUACUAGUUAAGGUGUCCCUAGAAGCAUGUUGCAGCAUGUCGACCCAAGCCUUAACUGACUCUAUGUGUGUUACGAAAGCCUUAAUGAAAUUUUCGUACGAAAAUUUCUUCCCAAUUAGGCUUACAUUCACAUUAGUCCAAUGAGCUACCUUACUCUUCUCAAAUGAGUUAAGAGUUUUCUAUUUGGUCCAUAUAUAACAGAGGUACAUUUGAAUCUUAACCAAUCUUUUUCAUCACAAAUUUCUUAACACAUUUCACACACGAAGACACAUGUUCAUGAGGUCAUUGAUCAAACCAAUCGUGACUUAGACAUGUCAAACAUUUGUGUUAAUGAUCUUAAUUCAUGAGACCGUGAUGCAAGUGAAACUCGAAUAUUCAAAAUUAUCAAAGAAUUGAUGGGGAACAUUGUUCCGGAUUCUUAUGAUACACUAGUUUCAGUACCCUUUUCGAAUACUCGAAAUCACAUUCUUUCGUAUGAGUGAUCUUGAUCAAAUGUUCAAAGCCCUCGACAUUUUUUUCCCAACAAGAUCCAGUUGAACUAUUUUUUCUUGGAAUGUGAUUUCCGUGUGAGUAUCAAUUCUUUUCCUUAGUCACUUUAACAAAUUUUACAAAGCCACUUGUCACUGACUACACUUGUCAAACAAGUAAUUUCGAUUACAAUUACUCACCUUAUGUUUAGGCUGAUAUGUAACAAAAUUUGUAUACCACCCAUUAAGCCUUUCAAAAGAAGCCCUUCCAUACUUCUUUAUAAGUAUUCGAUUGUAAUUCACGGGAAAAUGCACAAGAUGUUAGUUAUCUCUCUUGAUAAUUAAUGAAACAACCUUUGCUCGGGGUUUAACUGCUUUCGUGCCAAAACAUUUGACAUCACAGAUCCCAAAUUUUUUUAAAAUUGCUUCUUAUCUCUUUCCAUUGAAUCACUGCACUCAUGAAAUCCUUGAGGCUCUAAGUAAUACCAACUUAGGCUGAAGAUUUCAUAAGACUGGCAAAUGACUUUGUUUCAAAUCCCAAAAACGAAAGAGCCCAGCCUUCAUUCCAAAGGGUUUGAUCUUAUCCACAAGUACUCACGAACAGUGUAAAAGUAACUGUUUGAAAACUUGGUCCUAGUUUAAAGGAACUUUAUGUGACAUGGCUACAAUAACGGAUACUGGUGCGUAAUUCAAGGCGAGAUGUGGCAUGAUCUUAAUGAUAAACGGUUCAUCUUAUAUUGAAGUUACAUAUAAAAGGAAAUUCUUUUUCAAUUGCUCAUUACGCGUUCAAAAUUCCUGAAAAUUGAAAAAACCCUAAUUCUCUGAAAGCUUUCAAACAACUCAACAAUGGCUGAUGUUCUAAACUCCAACACUGAAGAUGUUGCUUCUCAACCGAUGAUGAAGAUUUAAAAGCACAAACUAUCAGGUUGAAUCCAAUGUUUCGUUGUAUCCAGAAGAACUCAAAAUGUUGAUCGGUGUCUUGAGGAGAUAUGUUUUGGCUACUGCGAUGUUUAACUCCUUCGCAGUUCCAAUGUCUUGGUUGUCCAUGGCUGCUUCUACUGCGACAUACAAGAAAGCCACAGAUGUGAUUACAUUCAACUUGGUGGAUGAGAAACAUAUUCGUCUCACCAAGAAGAUGUUUUCACAAUUCUUGGAGAUUCCCAAUUCACCACCAUUCUUCAAACCUACCAACCCUCAAAUCAUACAUAUGUUCAGCGAGAUGGGUCACCAGCCACCACUCGAAAAGAUAAGCGAUUUCAAAAAGUUUGGGCUUCCCUGUAUACUUCUAGUCGUAAUAUAACCCCAUUACCAUUGCAUAUACUUCUAGUCUUCCCUUGUCAAGACCCAUACUUCUAGUGGACUAUGCCACUCAGUUGUGGAAGGAGUUCACGAAAAUUUUGGAAAGUACAAGUGUGGCUAAGGGAAUUUCUUGUGCUAGAUACUGGAGUUUAAUCUUGGAGAAAGUAUAUGAAAAAGAGGCACUUCAAGUCCCUGAGGGUGAGGAUACUGCUGAAUUCACGAAGUAUCAGUUCCCAAAGGCAGUCGAAGAUGAGGAGCAUAUAUUUACAAGUGUUGCACGCAUUCCAGAUGCAAUGCUCCAAUAUAGGGAUGAGCAACGGGCAAGACCCGGACCGGACCGGUCCGAAGACCGAAAACCCAAAGACCGAAAAUCGUGAAUUACCUUACCCGAAAACCGGACCGUUUUUGUAUGUAUCGGGUCUGGGUUCGGUCCAGUCCGGUUCCGGGUAUUAAACCGGUUUCGGGUUUUGGACCGAAUUGGACCGUUUUUUUUGUAAUGGUGGAAUGCAAUGGAGAGUUGGAGGGCCGAACCCAAAAAAUAAUUGUCACAACUAUGAAAGAGCCGCACAAAGGUUUUUUUGUUUUUAGUCGUCGCUCUUAUGGACGAGCCUCACAAUUUCUAAAAACACUAAUAGUAAAUAAAUGUUCAUGGUUUUUAGGAAAAAAAAAAGCCUAAUAAAUAAUAUUAUGGUAGAUACAUUACGAAAUAUUCAAUUUGGUGAGACAUGUGGUAUUUAAUUUUAAUACGCAAUCACAUUAGAUAUAUUCUUUUUUUGUAGCAAUAAUUUAUAAUUUAAUAAAAAAUUUAUAGCAUUAACUAAUAAGUCAUUAUUAUUAUUUAUAUAUUCUAAAAUAUGUACAAAAGAAAUUAAGGUGAAAAAGUUUUUCGGUCCAGUCCGGGUUAAAUCCCGUAUUCCAGGUACGGUCCAGUCUAAACCCGAAGUCCGAAUAGUGGUAAAAACAAAACCCGAAAACCGGCCCACUAAUUUGAAUAUUCGGUCCGGUCGGGGUCCGGUCCCGGUUUUUUUCCGGUCCGGUCCGGUCCAAUGGGUCAUAUGCUCAUCCCUACUCCAAAAGGUGAACCCUACUUACAAAAUUCUUGUGAUGUACCUGAAAAAUGUAAACCCUAAUGUGGAAACUAGGGUGUCACUUGAAGUCGAAGCAGGAUCUUUGAAGCCAUCGAAGAAGACGAAGUCUGAUGGUGAUGAAGUGUCACACCCCCAAACCAGACGGCGGAAACGUCCGGGGGUGAAGGACUUCAUUUGUAGUAUCACAACACAUGCAUCAUAGUAAUCAAAGUACAAACAACCAUUGUAUUUAAAAGUAUAAUAUUUACAUGUGUUCAAUCAUUGUAUAUUGAAACCAAAACAGUUAUGCAAAGGAAGAAGAUAAGACACCUAAUGGUUCCAUCUUCUCAAAAAGCUCGGGGAGUACCUGUUAUUAUUUUCCUGAUAAUACAAGUAAUUUGAAAAGAGAGUAUCAAUAAUAAGUUGAGAGAGUACAUAAGUCUUUAUGUUUGAAUGGGUGUAUUUGUAUUUUGAAUAUGAAAACACUUCUAGAAAUCCUAUAUUUUCUGUGGUAUGUGAAAAGUAGUUUUAUUCCCAUAAAACCGUCUUAUUUGUAAACCAUUGUAUUUGUAAAACUUGUAUUUGAGAGUGUGCCUGGCUUCACCAGCUGUUAUUGAAAACUAUAGUAUAGCAUUGUACUUUGCAUUUUGUAAACUGGUACUUUGAAGAUAUACUUACGUUUAGUUGUUUAUACACUAACGUGUUGUUAAUAUCUUUUUAAUGAGUUAUUAUAACCAUACUAAGACAUGAACGCCUGAAACAAACGCCUGAUGAGCGCUUAAACUGUUGAUAACAAUUGCCACUCAUUGGCGUGUAUGCCUGACUGUAGCUAGCAGCCUGAGUGCGGGGUUGUCAAUCCCGAUAUAGAUCUACACACAACUUGUUUCGAUCCCCGGACUGGAGAUUCUGGUUAUAAUGUCAGGGCUUUACCUUGGUUGUCUAAACUGAAUCUAAACAACCUGAAUUGAAUGUCUCAUAAAAAGCAUAUAAACGUUACAUGUAUAUUAGUUAUGAAAACCCAAUCAUUCUGAGAUAAAUGAUUGACAGUAUGUUCUUGACUUAGUAUCCCGAACAUGUAUUUGAUAAGUGUAAACCCUUGAUUUGUUUUGAAUUAAAACCCUUGUUGCAUGUAAAACAAUGUAUUCAUAUGAAUUAUUGCUCUAUGUAUCAUAAAUUAUACCUAUUAUAAUUUAUAUGUACUUUAUGAAUUGGUAAAUAACUAUUUUUGCAUGUAAUCCUUUGCUCAACAUGUUACAAAGGGUGAUUAAACUGAUGAAAUAACUUUUAAUUUUAUAUACAUAUACAAUUUUAUAAAUAAGUAAAAUUUGAACGACCUUCGGACAAAUAACUGGUACUAUAAGUCCACAUCCAAACAAGGAAAAGGACCUAGAAUGAAUUAUUAGUCCUAAGCCUUUUAAAUCUUAUUUAUAUUAAAUUAUAUAUACAAAUAUGUAUAUUUGGGAAAAAUAUAAGUUUAUAAAAGAGUUCAAUAUUUGAAGUAUUUUUGAUGCUUUAAAAUCAUUUUAUCGUGAUUUGAAAUCAUUUAUUUAUAACACAAAGUUGUUGUGUUAUACUUGUAUUUCCCCCCUUAAAACAGUAGAAAUUAUGAAAAUACGGGGGUAUGAACUCACUUGGUAGGUGGUAAUUCGGACAGGGUUUCGUUUCACGAAAAGGAGUUUAUUUGUCGAGAAACCGGCUCAAAUCGGGCAGAGUUUUGACAGGAGAGAGGAUGAAUUCUCGAGAAUUUCGGGGCUUCACGGCUUACUUCGGGCUCGAGGCUUGAUACCAGGGCUUUAGGGGUUGUAUAUGAGCUUAAGGGAGUGGAAAAGGUGAAAGAGGGUGAAAUUUAGGGUGAAAAAGUGAAAAUUAUUCGGAACCCUCGCAUGCCUUAUAUAGGCCGAAGCCUCGGAUCCGAGGCUUAUGCGAGGCUAUGCGAGGCUGACAUUUUGCGAAGGGAAGCAGAUUCGAUUCGGAGGUGGUAGGCUCGGAUUGGUCUAGCCCUCGGUCCAAUGCAAAGAAGCCACGNGCCCUCGGUCCAAUGAAAAGAAGCCACGUGCGAAGGGGUGUCCGAGGAUGGUGCGAGGGGCGUGCGAGGAGUGUCUCCGGUGUGUCUCAUGCGAGGUUGUCCGGUUCUAAGUGGACCUCAGACCUGGACGAAUCAGAGGGUGACACACGAGGCUGCGGUCCAAUCAGAAGAUGCCACGUGGAGGCUCGCAUGCGAGGGUGACGUGGCAGUUACUGUUCAUGCGAAUAUUUUCGGUUUUUGUUAUUUUUCUUUAUUUUUUGCCAAAACUUGUAAAAUUCAUAACUUUUGCAUACGAACUCCGUUUUUGACGUUCUUUAUAUGCACGCGUAGCUAAAAUUAUACUCUACGACUUUCGUUUAGACUUCGUUGGCUAAAUCUGAAUUUAUUUUUAAUAUUAUUAUUUUAAACAGACCGGGACGUGCAUCCGUUAUAAAUUCAUAACUUCUUCAUACGACGUCCGUUUCUGUCUGUCUUUUUACCGUUGUACUACUAAUGACGAGACCUUCAAUUCUCGUUUAGGUUGUGUCGGCUAAAACCACUCGAUCUUUAUUUCGAGUUUUUAGUUGUACACUACUAUAACGAAACUUAGAAAAAUCAUAACUUCCUCAUACGAAGUCAGAUUUUGGCGUUCUUUUUAUGAAAGUUCUCGGUUUAACAUAAACUAAAACUUUCAUUUAGAUUGUUAAGGCUAGAAAGCCUUUUAUCAAUAAUUCAGUUUUCACACUGAACAGUGUUUUGCCGGUUUUGUCGCAGAUUUUUGAUUGGUCAUAACUUCUUUGUUAUAACUCGGAUUUUAGUGUUCUUUAUAUUUUUGGAAACCUUGUUACAAUCUCUAUCUCUUGGUUCAACCCAAUUGAGAUUAUUUAAUAAUUUAUUUUUGAGGGUCAAUUAUGUAAAUAUACAUAGUAUGCCAAAACUUCUCUUUAUUUAAUUAAAAAGAAGUACAAUUUGACCUACACUAUUACAUAAGUUUGAAAUAACGGUUUGUUACUAUCCCCCCGUUAGAGAGAAUUUUGUCCCGAAAUUUACAUUACAGAUAGACUAGGGAAAAAGAUGUGGGUAUUUUUGUUGCAUUUGAUCCUCCCGCUCCCAUGUGAAUUCAGGUCCGCGUCUUGCAUUCCAGCGAACCUUCACUAUCGGGAUGCGGUUUUGUUUGGUUUUCUUAACUUCCCUGUCUAGUAUCUCUACGGGUUCUUCCACAAAAUUGAGGCUCUCGUUUAACUCGAUUUCCUCGAGUGGUAUCACAAGAGUCUCGUCGGAAAGACACUUUUUCAAGUUCGAAACGUGGAAGGUAGGAUGAAUGUUACUUAGUUCUUGGGGUAAUCGAAGUUUGUAAGCUACAGGGCCAAUUCGGGCAAGAAUCUCGAAUGGUCCUAUAUACCUUGGGUUCAGUUUGGCACGCUUUCCAAAACGUAUCAUUCCUUUCUAGGGUGAGACCUUUAGCAAAACUCGGUCGCCAACCUGGAAUUCAAAGGAUUUUCUCCUUUUGUCUGCGUAGCUUUUCUGUCUAUCUCUGGAAGCUUUAAGUCGUUCCCGAAUUUGUACGAUCUUUUCAGUAGUUUCUCAAAUAAUUUAUGGACCAGUGAGAGCAUUGUCAGGAGUUUGACCUCUAGCUAGCUGCGUGUCACCCACUUCAGCCCAGCACAGAGGGGAUCUGCGCUUGCGGCCAUAGAGGGCUUCGAAUGGAGCAGCUUUUAUGCUAGUGUGAUAACUGUUGUUAUAAGAGAACUCAGCAAGGGGUAAAUGAAUAUCCCAUGCCUUCCCAAAGUCUAUCACGCAAGCUCGUAACAUAUCUUCUAACGUUUGAAUCGUCCUUUCACUUUGUCCAUCGGUUUGCGGAUGGUCGGAUGUGCUCAUGUCUAGCUUAGUUCCCAGAGAGUUUUGUAAAGACUGCCAAAAACGAGAGGUGAAUCUACUAUCUCGGUCUGAAAUAAUAGAUAUUGGUACACCAUGUAGUCUAACAAUCUCCUUGAGGUAUGUUCUGGUUAGCUUUUUCAUCUUGUCAGUCUCCUUGAUUGGUAAGAAGUGUGCGGGAUUUGGUUAAUCUAUCGACGAUUACCCAAAUAGUAUCAUAACUACUUGAUGUCUUGGGUAACUUGGUUAUGAAAUCCAUUGUAAUUCGCUCCCACUUCCAUUCAGGGAUUUCAGGUUGUUGUAAUAAGCCUGAAGGUUUCUGGUACUCUACCUUAAUUUUGGCGCAAGUAAGGCACUUGCCCACAAAGGUAGCGAUUUCGGCCUUCAUGUUAGGCCACCAAUAUAACUUCUUAAGGUCCAGAUACAUCUUGUCUGAACCUGGGUGGAUGGAGUAUCGGGUUUUGUGUGCUUCAUUCAUAACCACAUCUCUGUAACCACCUAACUUUGGUGUCCAGAUCCAGCUCAUGAAAUAAUAGACUCCAUCAUCCCUGACUUCGAAAUUCUUAUCCAUUCCUCUCAGAGUUUCACCUGCUACGUUUUCGGGUUUCAAGGCUUCAAGUUGAGCUUCCUUGAUCUGCGUGGACAGAUGCGAAUGGAUUUUCAUGGUCAACGACUUUACCCAGCGUCCCGAGUAUUCUUUUCUACUAAGGGCGUCAGCUACUACGUUUGCUUUACCAGGGUGAUAAAGAAUUUCACACUCGUAAUCGUUCAGUAGCUCCACCCAUCGUCGUUGUCUCAUAUUCAGCUCUUUCUGAUCGAAGAUGUGUUGGAGACUUUUAUGGUCCGUGAAUAUUGUGCAUUUCGUGCCAUAUAAGUAAUGUCUCCAGAUCUUCAGAGCAAACACCACUGCUCCUAGUUCAAGGUCAUGUGUUGUAUAGUUGACUUCAUGUGUCUUUAGCUGUCUUGAGGCGUAGGAUAUAACCUUUCCUCUUUGCAUAAGAACACAUCCAAGCCCUUGAUUAGAAGCAUCACAGUACACUACGAAAUCCUCUGUCCCUUCAGGGAGAGACAGGAUUGGUGCACUACACAAGGCUCGCUUCAGCAAUUGGAACGCUGUUUCUUGCUUUUCUCCCCAACUAAAGGUUACACCCUUUUGGGUCAGAGUAGUAAGAGGCUUAGCUAUUCGAGAGAAAUUUUGAAUGAAUCUGCGAUAAUAGCCAGCAAGACCUAAGAAUUGACGGAUUUCUGUAGGUGUUUUGGGUGCUGACCAGUUUUCAAUUGCCUUUAUUUUGGAAGGGUCGACGUGUAUUCCUUCUGAACUGACCACGUGACCUAGGAAAUCUACCUUCCUGAUCCAAAAUUCACACUUUGAAAACUUCGCAUAGAGCUUCUCCGAUCUAAGAGUUUGUAAUAUUUGACGAAGAUGUUGGCCAUGUUCCUCUUUGCUCUUUGAGUAGAUAAGGAUAUUGUCAAUGAAGACUAUAACGAAUUUGUCCAAGAAUGGACGGCACACUCUGUUCAUUAGGUCCAUGAACACUGCAGGUGCAUUCGUCAAUCCGAAUGGCAUUACUAUAAACUCGUAAUGACCAUAACAAGUUCUGAACGCGGUUUUGGGAACGUCUUCCUCCAAAAUUCGUAACUGGUGAUACCCGGAUCUUAAGUCUAUCUUCGAGAAGUAGUUCGCCCCUUGAAGUUGGUCGAACAGAUCGUCAAUGCGAGGCAGAGGGUAUCGAUUCUUAAUGGUAAGUUUAUUCAGCUCGCGGUAGUCUAUACACAUGCGGAAUGAUCCAUCCUUCUUCUUUACGAACAAAACCGGUGCUCCCCAAGGUGAGAAGCUCGGUCUUAUGAAACCUUUGCUUAGGAGUUCGUUAAGUUGGCUGGAUAAUUCCUGCAUUUCAGAAGGUGCAAGACGAUAGGGGGAUUUGGCUACAGGGGUAGCUCCAGGGAUUAAGUCGAUUCGGAAUUCGACUUGUCGUUCGGGAGGCACUCCUGGAAGAUCAUCGGGAAAUACAUCGGGAAAGUUGCAGACUUCAGGAAUGCUUGCGAUGUCUUUCACUUCUUGCUUUUUAUCUACCACAUGAGCUAGGAAUGCACAAUACUCCUUGCGAAGGUAUUUCUGUGCCUUGAUGCUUGAAAUGAUCUGAAGGUUUGUUCCGGGUUUGUCACCAUAGAUAAUAAGAGUUUCGUUAGUUGGUAAGUUCAAACGAAUAGCUCUUUCAUAGCAUAGGAUGUCGGCAUGGUUGGGGCACAACCAAUCCAUACCUAUUAUGAUGUCAAAACUUUUGAUAGAGACCGGCAUAAGGUCUAUUGGGAAAGACAAGUCAUUUAACAUAAGGGUACAUCCUAUGUAUAUAUCAUUGGUGGAUUCGGAUUUCCCGUUAGCCAUUUCUACUGUGAAGGUUUUAUUUAGUGGUUGGGAGUUCUGAUUUAGUAGAUGUUUAAAGUUAUGGCUCACGAAGCUCCUCUCGGCACCACAAUCAAAAAGAUUGCAUGCAUAAGUAUUGUUGAGAAGGAACGUACCCGUGACCACAGCAGGGUCUGCCACCGCUUCUUCAUGACCUAGUGCUAGAAUUCUCCCAACCCUACCGGCAUUUCCAGCUUUUAGACAAUCUUUCUUGAAAUGCCCCACAUCACCGCAUUGUUAGCAUGCUCGACUUACUCCAGCGGUAGGUACUUGGUUAAGGGGUUGAGGUGGUGUUCUACAGAAUAGGGCAGUAUGCCCUUUCCUGUUGCAGUUACGACACUGCAUUUCAGGGCAAUUUCCGGUGUGGUGAAAAUUGCACUUGUUGCAUUUAGGGAGGCUACCGGCAUAGGGCUUAGUUGGUGCUGAGUAGUUAGGGGCAACAGCAGGUGUAGUAGUAGGUAUGGUAGCAGGCACAGUAGUAGCAUGGACUGCCACUAUUUGUUGCUUCUUUGAAGGUUCCAGAGGAGAUUUUCCCUUCCUUUUGUUCCAACCCUUCUUCUUGCUGUUGUUGUUGUUCUCCCUAGGUUGUUCUGGGGCAGUAACCACAGAGUUUUGACGGUUUCCGUGGUCAAUAAGUGACAGUGCCAGUUCCUUGGCGCUGUCAAAGGUGACAGGUUUAGAUGCAAUGACAUUUGCUUGUAUCUGGGGCGACAAUCCCCAAAUAUACCUUUCAAUCUUUUUGCUCUCUGGAGCAACCAUAUCCGGACACAGAAUCGCCAAGUCACCGAAUUGAUUCGUGUAAGUCGUUACAUCGGCACCGACCAUAGUAAUACUCCAGAGUUCUUGUUCCAGUUUCUGAAUUUCCCCUCGCAGGCAGUAUUCACGCAUCAGCAUGGUUUUUAGGUUCUCCCAGCUUAUAGUAUUAGCCACUACCAAAGUUAGUGACUUAACAUGGCCAUUCCACCAUGUUAGGGCCCUAUCUAAGAAAGUAAACGCAGCAAAUUUAACCUUGCUACCCUCUGGACAGGAGCAGAUUUCAAAGACUGCUUCUAUCUUCUCAAUCCACUGCCUUAAAACCAUCACUCCUCCAGUUCCAUUAAAGGUCCUGGGUUUGGCAUUCGAUAAGUCUUUAUAAGUGCACUCCCUCGAUUGUUCAUGACCCUCGACAAGGUUAGAAGGACGUGGAUCAGCUCCCGACCCACUAGUGCCGCCAGCAUUGAUAUGAGAUAAGGCAGCCGCUACAGCUNCCGUGACUGCCGCUUGGAACAUGGCAGCAUCGAAUUGAGGGGGUGGUGGUGGAGGUGGUGUCGGUGCUUCCGUUUCAUUGUUACGUCUUGGAUUCCUACGAGGAGGCAUCUUUUUCUAUAAAAGUCAAUAGAUAAAAAGAUAGUGAGAUAUCAAGAAUGAAUAUGAAUUUGAUAUCUCUGAACUUAAACACUUAAUUCAACAAGAAUAUUGUAAAGAAUUGAAAAUGGAUGUCCAUUGCAAGUACAACUUGCAACUGGAUAGAUUAAAAUGAAGUGGUUAUUUUUCAAAGAGUAUGAAAGUACAUGUCGCUUGUAUUGGUAUAUUAACUAUAUGUAAUUUGGAUACUUAACCCUAAAGUAGGUCUUUAAUAGACCACAAUAUUGUAAAAGUAUCGACAUCAAACCGGCCUACCGAAAAUAAAAAAUUUUGCGGUCGUAUGUGAAAAGUAUGAAAAAUAACACUGAAACAUAUCCCAUAUCCCAAAACUUUGGAAAUGGAAUGUUUAUGUAACUUGUAAUAACUCUUGUUGAAGUAAAGUGCUUAUUAUUUUAUUGAUACUUGAUUUAUACAUCUCCUGAAAGUAGUCUAUACAUUCAGUAUAUUAAACUAGAAAGUAGUGUAACACUACUUGCGGCGGUUGCUACGACGGUUACUGGGUUCCGCUCUGUCUUGUGAUUUCCAGCGCCUUUCCUGGGCAGCUUGAUGCUCCCUCAGUCCUCUGAUCUCUGAUUCAGCAGCAUUAAGUUGCCUUUGAAGGGCUUCAGUAUGGUGUUGGGUAUCAUCUUGCAUCUCGUCAAGACGAAGGAUAUCGGCAGCGUUAGCCUGUGCAGCCGCAUUCACUUCUAGGAUACGAUUGAUUGACAUCCUUGAUUGAUCGAAUUGUCGGGCAAUUCGGUUCACUAUAACUGGAAGAGCUCUGUCGGCUGUUCCUCCUUCUGAGACGUUAUAGAAACCCCGUGCCAUUCCGUAGGGAGGGCGUUGGCCGUCUUGUCGACUCCAAUGGUUUAUGUAUUGGCCCCACUCGGGUAUGGGUAUUGCUUCCUCUUGUCUCGGGGGACGUAUCCCCGGGUUGCAGACUUGUGGCUCUGUAUCUGUACCGCUUGAUUUGCUGUCCUCAAAUGGUUCUUCAUCUGAGUCUUCUUCUGGAUCCUCCUCCGGAUCCUCCACUAUCCAUCCUUGAUUGCCAUGAUUUGGAAAAUAAGGGUCCCCUGGUAGAUGAUGUCCUGCCAUUGUGUCUGUACGAGAAUAAGGUUAUGAGAAAUGCCUGAAAAGAAAACUAAAGCAUAUCGAUGUUUAUAAUAUUCUUAUAGUAUUUUAUGUUCUGUUCUUAGAGUUUCUUCGGUAGUUGGUAAGUUUUAGACAUGUCACAACACUACUAUCACUCCCAAACACAUGUUGGUCAUAUCUGAAAUCAAUAUAGUUGAUCAGGCUAUAUUAAUUCUAGAUAUGAUUACAUAACUGCCCGGGUUUAACUGUAAUGUUCAACAUCCAAAUACUUUUAAGUUCUUAUGACUAUGUACUUGUAGGUAUGAGGGUUAGUAUACUUCUUGUAAAAAUACUUAAAAUUCUUAAAAGUAUACUUGUAGUCAGAGCUCUUAGCCCCAAUGUAUUUAUAGUUUGUAUAUCUUUUAUGGAUUGAUAUACUGAGUUCACUAUAAACAAUGCUCUGAUACCAAUCUGUCACACCCCCAAACCAGACGGCGGAAACGUCCGGGGGUGGAGGACUUCAUUUGUAGUAUCACAACACAUGCAUCAUAGUAAUCAAAGUACAAACAACCAUUGUAUUUAAAAGUAUAAUAUUUACAUGUGUUCAAUCAUUGUAUAUUGAAACCAAAAUAGUUAUACAAAAGAAGAAGAUAAGACUCCUAAUGGCUCCAUCUUCUCAAAAAGCUCGGGGAGUACCUGUUAUUAUUUCCCUGAUAAUACAAGUAAUUUGAAAAGAGAGUAUCAACAAUAAGUUGAGUGAGUACAUAAGUCUUUAUGUUUUGAAUGGGUGUAUUUGUAUUUUGAAUAUGAAAACACUUCUAGAAAAUCCCAUAUUUUCUGUGGUAUGUGAAAAGUAGUUUUAUUCCUAUAAAACCGUCUUAUUUGUAAACCAUUGUAUUUGUAAAACUUGUAUUUGAGAGUGUGCCUGGCUUCACCAGCUGUUAUUGAAAACUAUAGUAUAGCAUUGUACUUUGCAUUUUGUAAACUGGUACUUUGAAGAUAUACUUACGUUUAGUUGUUUAUACACUAACGUGUUGUUAAUAUCUUUUUAAUGAGUUAUUAUAACCAUACUAAGACAUGAACGCCUGAAACAAACGCCUGAUGAGCGCUUAAACUGUUGAUAACAAUUGCCACUCAUUGGCGUGUACGCCUGACUGUAGCUAACAGCCUGAGUGCGGGGUUUUCAAUCCCGAUAUAGAUCUACACACAACUUGUUUUGAUCCCCGGACUGGAGAUUCUGGUUAUAAUGUCAGGGCUUUACCUUGGUUGUCUAGACUGAAUCUAAACAACCUGAAUUGAAUGUCUCAUAAAAAGCAUAUAAACGUUACAUGUAUAUUAGUUAUGAAAACCCAAUCAUUCUAAAAUAAAUGAUUGACAGUAUGUUCUUGACUUAGUAUCCUGACUAGCAAUCGUAGCUCUUUAAAAUUCAUUGUCGAACUCUGACCUAGUCAAUGACGUGUCCAUUAGAUAAGGGAUCAUAUAUUCCUCCAUUAUAGAUACCAUAAGGACUGAGACAUGGAUUAUAAUCAUACUCUCUGUCCAUAUGUUGUUUCCCGAUUUCUGAUUUAUGACGACCGACUAAUUGAACAAAUCAAAUCAGUCCAGGCCCGGCCGAGCACUUACGUUUGUCAUCACUAAAUCAUCAAGGGGCCCACAUAUAUCGCUUUUAUCCCUCCAAGGGUAAAAGGAAUAGAUAAACUUCGACUCAUAUGCUUGGUCUAUUUAAUCAUCAAAUCACACACCACAAUGCAUUUUAUAACACCAAGUUACUGGUGCGUUUUCACAUUAUCAAUGUGCAACUGACUUGUAGAGUGCAACUCAUAUCUCCCCGUUUGAAGAAUAUAAGAUAUUAUCAUCUCAUAAUCACUAGUGAUAAAAUCUAGAAGUGAUACAAAUGAGUGUGGGUUUAAUCCAAUACUCGAAACUUAUUCCAGGAGCACUCAUGAACAAUGCGGCUAUGUCUAGGCCACCUAGACAAACUACAGACCCAUUCAUGACAAUCUUGCCUCAAUACCUACUUCCAAAGUAUGAUCGACUGUGGACGGUUUGAAUAACCUAGUUAUUCGUGAAGUCAAAACAUGCAAAGUGAAACACAAGAAUAAUAUUAAUCCUAUAUGGACCCAAAACUUUUGAGAGUAAAUAAAACACCUUUUAUUUAAUCACCAUAUUGAUUACUCAUUAUUCAUUGUAUAAUGUUUAGAAUAAUCAACUUAAUACUUGAACUAAAACAAUAGUUGUCUCAUGCUACAAGCAUGUACACUAUGCUUACCUACGGUCCUUUCUUUGUCGAAUAGAACAAUUGAUAACAUUUUAAUGAUGCUCAUUUCACAACUCCAAAUCCUUAUGAUAAAUGUAAGAAUACCAAAUUCUUACCAUUUACCGAAAUUUGUUAGAUUCUAAACUUAUAUGCAUUGAUUCUCUUGUAAUGACUAUGCAAAAAAGUUACAAAGACUUGGCUCCAGACAUUACAAAGUAUUCCAAUGGAGAGCAGUUCCAUGGAAACGAAGUCUCAUAUUCAAAGUACAUUCCUUUGAACAUCCUUCUUGCAUUAAGUUUUCUAAUCUUACACAGAUUUUGAAGAAUGACUUCCACUUAUGGAAACAAUUCCAUAUUCCCAUUUUGACUAUCACUUCUAAACAAGAGUUGCCUCUUUUCAGAAUAUGUCAAUAUGGCCCUUUCCAAAAUUUACGCCAUACUUCCAAGUGUCCAUGAGCAACCAAUAUUCGGUAAACCUCAUAUUGUCCUCGACAAUUGCUUAAUCAUUUUUGUCACACCCCAAAACCGAGAACGGCGGAAACGUUUCGGGCUGGAGGACGUCAGGUACAGUAUCACAACAGUGUAAAGUAGUAAACAAGCAACAACAUCAUCCAUUGCAUUAAAAGUAAAGUUUUAAUACAUGGGUGUUCUUUCAUUGUAAUAAGACACCAAAAUAUACAAUCAAAAUAAAAGACGAGUCUUGUCCGUGCUCCGUCUUCUCAAAACCUGGCCAUCGUACUUGUCUACUGGUGACCUGAGAAUACCAGUUAUUUUGAAAGCGAGUAUCAGCCUAAAGCUGGUGAAUUCAUAAGUAUUUAAGUGUCAUUGUCUUGUUUUGGGAAGCUGUUAUGAAUGCCAUGUAAAUCUUUUAUGUGAAACAGUUGAUAUAAGUAUGAAAACCCUAGAAAUCCCAUAUUUCCUACUAGUAUGAAAUGUAGUCUUCUACCAAGACCUGAAUGUUUUGCUAUAAAAAUGAUAGUUUUCCUUUCUUUUGACUAUUACUAACAAUACUUAGUCUAACUCAUCGUUUAUGUGAAUGUAUCACAAAAUAAAGUAAUAGGAAAAUGUAAACAUGUAAGUGUUAUCCUUUUGUAUUAGGAUUAACACGACAUCGCGAUUAGCGAAAUGUAUAACCUUUGAACAUCCGUAGAUUGUUCAAUUUUCCUCUAUAACUACAGCAGGUUUAAGGAAGGGUUAGUCCCGUAAAGGUACUCCUAAUAUAAGUAUUAACCGUAGGCAUCCAUAGAUGGUCAUUUACCUCUGUAGCGAACAGUAGGCCAAAGGAAUGGUUAGUCCCGUACAGGUACCCCUAAUAUAAGUAAUAACCGUAGGCAUCCGUAGAUGUUCAUCUACCACUGUUGCUAACAGGUGGGUUCUGAAAUGGUUAGUCCCGUCUAGAUAUCCCGUUGAACUGGGAUAGGCAGGACAAUUUACACAUAAUGUACUAAUAAAUCAUCCUAGUGAAUCGAGGUACAAGUAUCCAUGUAAGUGUAUACAGGUAAAUGUAUCUAUGUAAAGGUAUUCAUGUAAGCGUAUUCAUGUAACAUGUAAUGUAUAGUAUAGACUCAUGAAUGAACUGACUCUGAUGUAAUUCCUUGUAAUAGGAAUAAUGUUUUGUAUCUUCUAACUAUCCCUAUAAUAGUUAACUGGAAGGUAAUUGGUUGUUCAAGCAGGUUUAUACACCCUUGCUACACAAGAGUGUGGGAAACUGAAUGAAGGAUGAAAACUAUAACAUCAAUACAUAUAUAAGAACAUAAGUGUAUAGAUAUAGUUUUGUUCAAGAAGGUAAAAAUGGUUUUGUAAGACAUCUAAGAGUUUUGAACAAUAAUUAACAAUGACUUGAUGUCAUUUUAAUAAACAUUUCAAAACAAAUACAUUUGUUACCAAGGUAUUUUAAGAUAGAAAACCAUUUCAUGCAUCACAUUUUGAAGUAUGUGAAAUCUGCUGGAUGAAAACACAGUUAUAAAAUACAUAUGAGUGAUUUAAUAACAUACUGUUUUCUACUUGUAUUCCCCCCAUCCAAGCAUUUAAAAUCAUUUAAAACAUUGAUUAAGGGGUAUGAACUCACCUGUAGAUGGUGGUUUNCCCCCCCCCAUUAAAGCAUUUAAAAUCAUUUAAAACAUUGAUUAAGGGGUAUGAACUCACCUGUAGCAAGUGGAUCGGAAGGAAGUGUCGGAUAAGUACUUGGUUUCAAGUGAAGACUUAGACACGCACAAUGAUCCUAAUAAAAUAUAAGGAUAUAUGUAUGUAAACAAUUUGUCUUUAAAUAACUAAUAAACAAAGUCAAGACACUCUAAGGCAUGACAAACACUUUGUAUAAGUGUUAUAAGUGUUCAGGAGUGCAUCUAAGUGUUAUAGGGAAAGGCUAGUGUGUUUGGGGUUCAAGGAACACUCCUAAAAUGAGUUUACUCCCUAAAGACCAACAACCCUUGAGUUUACAGUCGUAAACUCCUAACCUUUUGACCAUUUGUUGUUUUGAAGUCUUUUAAGCUAUUCCAUGCAUUCCUACUUCAUGUUUAAGCCUUAGGAAGUGUUGUGUGGCAACAAAACACUCCUAAAUGGAGUUUACGGUCUAAGGACCAUUUAUCCAUGAGUUUACUCCUAUAAAAUCUCAUGGACUAAGGUAUUUUGAUGUUUUCAAGUCCUAAACACUUCAAGGUAAUAGUCUAGGUUAGAUUCUAGGCAUAAGGAGUAAAUAUGGGACAUUUAAACACCUUUACGGGUGUUUACGGUUUUAGGAGAUCCCCAAACUGUAAACACAUAUGAGUAAGGGGUUUUGGUGGUUUUCAUGUGCUAAACAACUCAGGGAAGGAUUCUAAGUUAAUACCCAAGGCUUAGGAUGAGAUAAAGCACACUUUGGCACCCUUUAGCACACUUUAGCACCUUUCUUUGGGGUUCACGGUCCAAGAACUUCUUGGACCGUAAACUCCAUGAUCUUGGUGUAUUUGGGACAUUUUCUUGAUGCAUGAUAAGUUAAUAAGCUGAUCAAUACACUAGGGUUGGAGUACUUACUAGUUAGAAGCUUGAAACGGUGCUAAGGGCCUAAGAACACUAGUGUGUGUUCUUGGUGUUUUGGAAAACUAGUCAAAACACAUAAAUGGAUGGAUUAAAGGAUGUACAAUCACUAGAUUAAGUGAUACACUAACUUGAAAGGGCUAGGAACACUUACUAGAUUGAAGAUAUUGAACAAAACUAGGAUGAUACCUGAGAGGGUUUUUGAGUUUACUCUUUUGGUAAUUGGGGAGUAAACAUAAAUGACUAGUUUGGGGAGUAAGCUCAUGCUUAUGCAUGAGUUCACGGUUUUUGGAUGAUUUUCUGACCCAAACAUAAAAGUUUGGCCGUGAACUUCUAAGACACGAGGUGUUUGCGGUUUAGAAAUUUCGAGACCCGAGACGGCCCAUCCGUUCACCCGUUCGAUUAAAGAUUAAUUAUUAAAAUAAUCAAAUGAACUUAUUUUUGCUAAAAAUAAGUAAUAAUUUAAUUGACCUAUAAAUCAAAGUGAUUGACUUUUAGCGUUUGACCAAAUGAAAAUUUCGAUUUUUCACAAUUUUAGUCAUAUCCAGUUCUAGUCCUUUUCCCUCUUAAUGCCCUAGGCAUUUGGAAAAUUUAGAACAAAUGAAUAUUAUAGCACAUAUAAUCAAUCCUAUAUCCGAAGCAUAUGGGACUCGAUUCAUGAUGUCUCGCAUGAAGACAUGAUACUAGACCAGUCUUUUGCUAUAAUAUUUCUAUUUCUAUUUGCCAUGUUCUUAUAAUUCGAAUUAUGAAAAGGGAUGUCGUAAUCAUAACCGAAUUUUAGAACGAAAAUAAUAUUUCCAUAUAUAGAAUUUCCUUACGUUGAUCCUUUCCAACAUAACAUUCAUAUAUAUAAACUUGACUAAAUUUGAUUAAAAUCUCAAUCUAAGCUUGUAGAAUUGAAAUUAAGUAUGAAUUCCUCUCCCUUAAUUAUAGCAAAACAACUUUUCAACCCCUGCAACUUUGCGAAUUGAAACUUUUGUUUUCUAUAAUUAACAUUGCUAACUUGCAACAGUUAACAUAAUUCAUUAUGCUCCCACUAGCAUAAUAAUUAUUUCCAUACUUGCAUAACACUUAUGUUCCUACUAGCUUUGACGUGUACUCAGAAAUCAGAUGGACUUCUAGAAAUCAAUACUUUAUUGACUUUCUUACCAAAGUCCAUAUUUCUAAUGCGAGAGGAUUCGAUAAGACUUUAUCAAAAUCAUACACCUUUCCUUAGACAGCUCACAUGUGUAUCUAAACAAUUAUGAAGAGGGAUGUUGCAAUCAUAAUGUUUAGACCAUUUUUCCAUUUCUCACAAUUCGAACUAUGAAGAGGGAUACCAUAAUCAUAAACGAAUUUGAAAAUGAAAAUAUCACAAUUGAUAACUAUUUAAAAUCUACUUGGUGAAAGAGUUUCAUCACCAUCAUUUUUCAUGAAUCGGAGAGAAACCUUAUGACACUUAGAUUUUAUGGUGUAUGUGUUCCUAUCCAUGUGAAUUUGUCAUAACCUUAAUCAUAAGACAAGGUUAAUAACAAAUCGAAGCUCAUAUGGACUGAACUUGAUCAAUAUUAAUUUCUUGCCACUUGGCAGCUCAAGGGACUACCAUUGCUUCCAAGUAGUUAUGCAAACAACUGAGAACUCACAGAAUCCACAUGCAUAGCCAACUUUAACUGGAAUGUGCACAGAAACAAAAAUAUGUCAACACGAUAGGUUACAAACCUCAAGUCGUGUGCUAGUGCUUAACAAUAGGUUUACUCUUGAUUAGUUCUUGAAGCUUUCAAGAUCUUUAAGACUCCCACUCACUUCUUGAAAUAUAAGAUUAUCUAUGUCAAGAACCAUAUCUUGACAAAAAGAUAUUCACGAGUUAGUGCGGAUUCUUAUUAAGAAAACACUUCACACUAUUGGCGUUAGUUGGUCUUUGUUUUAUCCAAAAUAUCACAACUUACCAAUUUCAAAUGUACAAGAGUAGAAAGCAUUUUACCCUACAUUUGACAAGUGUUAUAAAACUUUCGUAAGAUUAUGUCACUCAAGGUUACAAUCUUGGAGUAUGACUCUAAGACUUGUUUUGGGAAUGAAGUAUGAUUUAUCUUUUGAUUUAACCAUUUCAACAAUUCACGAUUCCUCUUCUUAGUCAAAAAAAUUCACUAAGAUGUCCUUAGAGGAUCAAUUGUGAUAUGGUUUCUUAAUCACUAAGAUAAUCAUAAAACAUGAUACUACAAGUACUCUCCCAUCUUUUCAGAUUGGAGAAACUUUUAUCUUUCUGCCUAAUUUGAUUCUUCUCAUUCGUCCUGCCAUACAUUGAAGCUUUUCCAAUGUUUUAGAAUUAUACUUAAACUUGUAAGUACAACCAUAUUUACUAAACUUUAGUAAAUCAUGACGAAUAGCCUUAUCGUUCUUUAUGGUUGACCUAAUCAGCACACAACCAAGUGUACCUGAUCUCCUAGUCCUUCACUUGACUCACAUAUACAUGUGAACAAGGAAUUAGUCUUGAUUUACCAAAGAUGAAAAUUCUCAUUCAUCAUACAACACAAGUUUCAUGAUUCCAAGUUUUUAUCCAACUAAAACUUGGGUGAUGAGAAUCUUUCCUUAUUUGGUAAAUUAUGACACUACCACAAACGAAAGAAUCAAAUCCAAUUUCCAAUAUCGCUAUCAAUGGAAUCAUAUAGACAACAAUUUUCACAAAUCUCAUUGUAAGGAUAAUUAAAAUAAAUAAAAUCAAAAUUUUCCUUUUAUUUUAAAAUUGCGGAAAAACUUAUUCUUACAAUGCAAAUUCAUAUGAAAACUAUGUUGUUAUCUAUUCCUAAGCAAUCUAUCAUAAUCAUAGUAGCAGCUCAAAAUUCUGAUCUUCAAAUCAUACGAUCUAAAUCUAUCUUCGCGAUCAGAUUCAGCGUACUCUUGUUUUAAGCUUCCUCUCCUUUUUCGAUUCUACAAAACAUCAAAAUGUGACCCAGUCACAUCAUGUAAUAAGAAUCUCAAAAUAGGAACUUAAUAGAGUUAGAUAGUGGACUUUACUUGAAGCGUAGUCAAAUUUUGACUUUUACCAUCCAAGUGAACUUUCAGGUAAAUAGGGAAGCUUCGUAACCAAUGCCCAUUCUUUUGGCAAUAGAAACAUAUGGACUCUUUAGGAAUGGUACACGAGACUAUCUCAAACUUAGCCGUUCUCUUUACAAUUUGGUCAACUGGGUUAACUAUGGUCGAUCCCUUUCCACUAGGAAAAGAAGACAUUUCUGGACUUCCAAUGUUUCCAUUGUCAAUAUUCCUGUAAGUUUGGGAAGUAGAUCUUCCAAUCAAAUUUGCUUUUCCAGUGCUCCAAAGCAUUGCUAAUUCAGCAACAACAAGAAAAUAGGUAAGAUCAAUAAGGGUCGUUUCGUGAUCUGUCAUCAGGAAGUGACUAAAGAACCCAAUCAACAAGCAACUUCUUCGAGACUUCAACACCCAACUCUCCCAGCUUGUCAAUAUGUGACUUCAUCUCCAAUAUGUGAGCACAUAUUGGCAUUGCUUUCCAAUAGGGAUUGAGUGACCUUGAACUUUUUAAGAACUUGUGGUUUAGGUAGAAUAAUUGGAGGAGGUAGAGGAAGUAAAGUAUGAUUUCAAGUCCCAUUAAUGCACAACAAAGGGAUUAAUCUUUCACCUUGAUUGCCAUUUGUGAUAUCAUCUUUAUUAAGAAAGCUUUAUCUAAAAGGGUAAGGAAGACCAUAAUUGUCAUAACUAGACAUAUAUGAGGGAGAAAUUCAAGUUUAGUUGAUUUAAGUCCUUAAUAUAACACCCAAUAUGAAAUAUUAAGGCUAGGACCCAACACAACAUUUUAUAACUUGGAAGAGGGAUGCCGUAAUCCAAGAUACAAAAUAUUUGAAGGUAGGUAAAUGACGAUUUACCAAUUUCCACCAUGAAAAACGAAAUUUAACAUUAGGUUUUAAAUGAAUUGAAACUCCUAGACCUUUUGAGAUUCAUUGAACUAUUUAAUGGCAUUUUUAAAUACUAGUUGUGCCCUUCAAGUUUGUGACUGGGAUGCCGAAGAUCACAAAGAAGGAGCGAAUAACCAUGCAAAUUAACUUGGUACACUUAAUGUUACAACCACCUAAUCAAUGUGCCGGUUAACAACAUACACUCCAUUGAUCUAUGAUUAACAUCAAUUUACCCUUUGCCACACAUUAUCAGUCCCAGAUUAGUGUGCCGGUUAACCACACACGCUCCACUAACGACUUAACAAGGUGAAAAGUGCAAUUCCAUGGGUUAGCACCAUAUUCACAUUUUCCUAAGUAACCAAGAUUGGGAAUUUAUAAGUGUUUAGUUACUUAGUAUUUCAUUAUACUUUUAAUGAGGGAAGAAUUAAAGUCUUGUCCUACCCAUUCGGCUAACGGCCCUCCACCAGUCAAGGAAGCGGUGGGUGAGAGUGGACACACAUUAAACUGCCAUUUUAUAGGCAGUAACCUUAUACCCCCUUAUAGACCGACUUCGUGAAUGAGGCCUACUAACGGUAAGACUGACUUUGUUCUUAUACAUAUAUAUAUAUAUAUAUAUAUAUAUAACUAUUAAACCUAUAAUAUUAUAAUAGUAUCAGGUUGAAUUUUAUACUUUUAAAAUUCUAGGGGUUGGAAUUAAAUUAUACAUGGGGAGGGUAACUUUACAAAUUCCAAAACUUGAGGGAGAGUUUUGAAUAAUUCAAAAACUUUUGGUUUUUAUAACUUAUUAGUUUAAAGUAGUUUAAUGAAAAACUCUUCAAGUUCCAUAACUUGAGGACAAGUUAUAGAAGACUUUAAAAUCAAUUAAUAAAAUAAGACUCUUCAUUUUCAUAACUUACAGAAAUUUUAUGAGUUUUAAAAUUCAUAAAUGAGACUUUUCAUAUAACUUGAGGACAAGUUACAAAACUCAUAUUAUAAACAACUUUUAGAUCAAUUUGGAUCGAAAACAAUUAUCACAUAAUUUUUUUAUUAAUCUAAACUAACUCAUAAGAACAAGAUAAUUCAUACCAUCAAUCUUCAAGAAAUUAGCAUAUUCAUAUAAACUAAUACAAAACUUUAAAUUAUGACAAUUAUCUAAUAAUUGGAAGAGAAACAACAUUAUCAUAACAACAAAAUCAAAUUUUAUAAACAAAAACAUUUUGUGGUAAUGAUUCUAAUCCAAAACAGACCAAAAAGUCAAAAAUUAUGCCGUCUGGACAGCAAACUCGUUGAGUUGCUUACCGCACUCGACGAGUUCAAGGCCAUCUUCAACCUACUCGGCGAGUCACCCAAUGGACUCGGCGAGUUCACUGGGGCGAAGGCAAAAUUUUUGAUUUUCUUGCUUUGAAAACUUAUAAAACAUCAAGUAUAAUAGAAAACAACCCAUGGCUCUGAUACCACUGUUGGUUAUUAGUAUACUACAACAUCCUAUGGUGCACAUACACCCCUAAAUACCUUGGAUCUAUGUUUUUACAAAUUAUACAUACAAAUGGUUUCCAAGGCAUUAAACCUAUAACUAGCAUGCAUUCUCAUAUACCAAAUAAGAUGCUAAUGAAAGUAACAUACCUUUUGUGUUGUAGCUUGAUUCCAUGGAGCUUAAGAGCCGAGUGCCUCAAGUGUGACACCUCAAAUGGUUCACACAACACCAACAACAACUUAGAGUAACUUCAGAGAAAAGUCCUUAUGCUCAAAUCGGUUAGCCCUCUCAUAUGAAACCCUUAGGUCCGAUUUCUUGAGCCAUGGGGUCCUUAUAUAUUGUUGCUAUUAGGGUUACACUACGUAACUCAUGUCUUUCCAUAUUCUUCAUGCUCCAUGGGUUAAAACCUCCAUGGAGUAUCCAUGGGUUUAGCCCAACAUGAAGAACUAUGGAUCAUAAGCCCACAUAUAUAAGAAUGAAUGAUUUACACAAUCAAUCCCCAUAUAUUUAAUUGGUCUCCUUUUGAUCACAAAAUUAAAUCCAAAUUAAUUCUUGAUCAAUACUAAUUAAAUAAUAUGAUUUCAUAUUAAUAUAUUGGAACUUAUAAUACAUUAACAAAUCAUAAAUAUCCUUUUCUCACAAAUUCUAUCCAAAUUGUUCUGAUGCCAUGCAACCCAAAUGGACCAUGCCAAAUCGGGUCAAGUACAUACUAAUUAUAGUUAUGGACUUAGAAACUAAUACAACAGUCUCCCACUUGGAUAAGUUUAAAACUAUUAUUGCGUAUGACUCUAAAACCCGACUAGCAAUUGUAGCUCUUAAAGCCGUUGUUGAACUCUGAACAAAUCAAUGACGCGUCCAUUAGAUAAGGGAUCAUAUAUUGCUCCAUUCUAGAUAUCAUAUGGACUGAGAGAUGGAUUAUAAUCAUUCUCUCUGUCCAUUUGUUGUUUCUCGAUUUCCGAUUUAUGACGACUGACUAGUUGAACAAAUCAAAUUAGUCUAGGCUUGGCCAAGCACUUAGGGGUGUCAUCACUAAAUCAUCGAGGGCCCCACAUAUAUCGCUUUUAUCCCACCAAGGGUAAAAGGAAUUGAUAAACAUCGACUUAUAUGCUUGUUCUACCACUUGCUGAAUCAUACACAAAGGCAUGUUUUAUAACAUCGAGUUACCAAUGCGUUUUCGUGCAAUCAAUGUAUAACCAACUCAGAGUCAACAACUCAUAUCUCUAGGUUUGAAGAAUAUAAGAUAUUAUCGUCUCAUGAUCACUCGUGAUAAAAUCCAUGAAGUGAUUCAAAUGAGCGUAAGUUGAAUCCAAAUGCUCAGAACUUAUGAGCACUCAUGAGUGUUGUAGCAACUCUUUUUAUGUCCAACAUCUUAGACAUCUACAAGCCAAGUUCAUGACAGUCUUGAUUCAUAUGUACUUCCAACAUAUGACCGGCUGUGGAUGGUUUGAAUAACUUAGUCAUUUGGGAAAAAUGACCUAGUUGUUCUGGAAGUCAAAACAUGCAAAGUGAAACACAAAAAUAAUCGAAUCCAAUAUGGUCUCAAAACUUAUGAAUAUAAAUAGAACACCUUUUAUUUAUCACUGUAUUGAUUACACAUUAUUCAUUGUAUAAUGUUUCAACUAAUCAACUUUAUACUUGAAUCAAAACACUAGUCAUGCCAUGCUCUAAGCAUGCACACUAUGUUUAUCCAAACAAUAGUCAUGCCAUACACCAAGUAUACACACUAUUGUUGUCCAAAAAUUAGUUAUGCCGUACACCAAGUAUGCACACUAAGUUUUUCUAUGGUCUUUACUUUGUGAAAUAGAUCGAUUGAACAUAAUUCCAAUGAUUCUCAUUUCACAAUCCCAAAUCCGUAUCGUAAAUGUAAGAAUUCCAAAUUCCUACCAUUUGACAAAAUUUGUUAGAUUUUAAACAUAUAUACACUGAUCCUCUUGUAAUGAUUAUGCACAAAGUCACAAAGACUUGUCAACAAUCAUUACAGAGUAUUCCAAUGCAUAUCAACUCCAUGGAAACGAAGUCUCAAAUUCAAAGUACAAUGCUUUGAACAUCCUUCUUGCAUUAAGUUUCCUAAUCUUACAUAGAUUGAAUAACUUCCACCUAUGGAGACAUUUCCAUAUUCACAUUUUGACUAUCACUUCUUAUAAGAGUUGCCUCCUUUCAGAAUAUGUCAAUAUGGUCCUUCCAAAUUAACACUAUACUUCCAACUAUCCAUGAGUAACCAAUCUUUGGUAAACCUUAGAUUGUCCUCGACAAUUGCUUAAUCACUUUUGUCAUAUCCAGUUCUUGUACUUUUUCCCUCUUAAUGCCAUAGGCAUUUGGAAGAAUUUAGAACAGAUGAAUAUUAUAGCACAUGUAAUCGAUCCUAUAUCCGAAGCAUAUGGGACACGAUUCAUGAUGUCUCACAUAAAGACAUGAUACUAGACCAGUCUUUUGCUAUAAUAUUUCUAUUUCUAUUUUCCAUGUUCUCAUAAUUUAGAUUAUGAAAAUAGAUGUUGUAAUCAUAAUCGAAUUUUAGAACGCAAAUAAUAUUCCCAUAUAUAGAAUUUCCUUCUGUUGAACCAUUCCAACAUAACAUUCAUAUAUAUAUAUAUAUAUAUAUAUAUAUAUANNNNNNNNNNNNNNNNNNNNNNNNAUAUAUAGAAUUUCCUUAUGUUGAACCAUUCCAACAUAACAUUCAUAUAUAUACUUGACUAAGUUUGAUUAAAAUCUCACGAUCUAUGCUUUUAGAUUUUAAAUGAAGUAUAAUUUCCUCUCCCUUAAUUACAGCAAAACAACUUUUCCCAAUUGAAACUUUUGUUUUCUAUAAUUAACAUUGCUAACUUUCAAUACUUAUCAUAAUUAUCAUGCUCCCACUAACAUGAUAAUUAUCAGCAUAACACUUAUGCUCCCACUAUCUUUGACAUGUACUCAGAAAUCAGCUGGACUUCUAGAAAUCAAUACUUUAUUGACUUUCUUACCAAAGUUCAGACUUCUGAUACGAGAUGCUUUGAUAAAACUUUAUCAAAAUCAUACACCUUUCCUUAAAUAGCACACGUGUGUGUAUAAACAAUUUCUGAACUAUGAAAAGGGAUUCCGUAAUCAUAGUCUCAAUUGUUUAGACCUUUUCCAUUCCUCACAAGUCCAUGUUAGUAUGCGGGUUAACCACACAUGCUCCACUAACGACUUUGAGAAUGAAAAUAUUACAAUUGCAAUCUACUUAAAACCACUUAGUGAAAGCGUUUCCUCACCAUCAUUUUCAUGAAUCGGAGAGAAACCUUAUGACACUUAGAUUUUAUGGUGUAUGUGUUCCUAUCCAUGUGAAUUUGUGAAAACCAUAAUCACAAGACACAAUUAAUGACAAAUCCAAACUCAUAUGGACUGAACUUGUGCAGUCUUAACUUCUUGCCACCUGGCAGCACAAGGGCCUGCCAUUGCUUCCAAGUUGUUAUGCAACCAAUUGAGAACUCUCAGAACUCAUAUGUAAAGCCAACUUUAACUGAAAUGGGCACAAAAAUAGGAAUAUGUCAACACGAUAGGUUAUAAACCUCAAGUUGUGAGCUAGUGAGAAACUACAGGUUUUAUUCUUGAUUAGAUCUUGAAAUUCUUUCAGGGUCUUUCAGACUCCCACUGUCCUCUUAACAUAUAAGACUCUCUUGCCAAGACUCAUUCCUUGAAAAACAAAUAUUCAAUAGAUAGUGCGGAUUCUUAUCAAGACAAACACUUCACAAAAUUGGCCUAAGUUGGUCUAUGUUUUAUCCAAAACAUCACAACUUACCAAUUUCAAAUGUACAAGAGUAGGACACAUUUUACUCUUACAUUUGACAAGUGUUAAUAAACCUUCUUUAAGAUGUGUCACUCAAAUUACAAUCUUGGAGUAUGACUCUAAGACUUGUUUUGGAACGAAGUAUGACUCGUCUUCUUGAUUUAACCAUUUCAACAAUUCACGAUUCCUCUUCUUAUCCAUAGGAAUGCAUUAAGAUGUCCUUAGAGGACCAAUUGUGAUAUGGUUUCUUAAUCAUUAAGAUGAUCACAAAACAUGAUACUAAAGUACUCUUCCAUGUUUUAUGAUUUGAGAAACUUUUAUCUUUCCGCCUCAUUUGAUUAUUCCCAUUCAUUCAGCCAUACAUCGAAACUUUUCCAAUGUUUCAGAAUUAUAGUUAAACUUUUAAGUGUAACCAUAUUUACUAAACUUUAGUAAAUCAUGACGAAUAGUCUUAUCGAUCUUUGUAAUGGAUUUGACUAGUGCACAAGAAUGUGUACUCGAUCCCUUAGUCCUUCACUUUACCCACAUAUAAAUGUAAAAUGCGGAAAAAACUUUUUCCUUACAAUGAAACUUUCAAUGAAAACUAUGCUAUUACAUAUUUUCUAGAAAUCUAUCAUAACUCCUAAGUAGUAGCUCAAGAAUCCGAUCUUCGAACCAUGUGAUUGAAAUCCAUCUUCGCGAUCAAAUUCAGCAUACUCUUCCUUUAAGUUUCCUUCCCUUUGCUUGAUCCUACCAUACAUCAAAAUGUAUUAAGAAUCUCCAAAUAGGAACUUAAUAGAGUUAGAUAGUGGACUUACCUAAAGCAGAGUCAAACUUUUUGACUUGACCUUCUCUUAGAUCUUUCAGGUAGUUAGGGAAACAUCGCAACCAAUGCCCCUUCUUUUGGCAAUAGAAACAUAUGGACCCUUUGGGAAUGGUACACAGGACUAUCUCAGACUUAGCCUUUCUCUUUACUAUUUGGUCAACCGAGUUGACUAUGGCCGAUCCCUUUCCAUUGGGAAGAGAAAGCUUUUCUGGAUAUCGAAUGUUACCAUUGUCAAUGACCAUGGUAGUUUGGGAAGUUGAUCUUCUAAUCAAGUUUGGUUUACCGGUGCUCCAAAUCAUUGUUAAUUUAGCAACACCAAGCAAAUAAAUAAGAUCAUUAAGGGUCAUGUCAUAGUAUGUUACAUAGUAGUCCUUAAAUAACUCACUAUGUGAGUUAGGAAGUGAUUGAAGAAGCUAGUCAACAUCCAACUUCCUCAAGACUUUGACACCCAACUCUCCCGGCUUGUCAAUAUGUGACUUCAUCUUCAAGAUAUGAGCACACAUAGACCUUGCUUGCCAAUAGGGCUUGAGUGACCUUGAACUUGGGGUUAACGAGAAUAAUUGGAGGAGGUGGAGGAAGAGAAGUAUGAUUUCCAUGAGAUUUGGGAAGAUCAUAGUUGUCUGAACCAGACAUCUACAAUGGGAGAAAAUCAAGUUAGUUGAUUUAAGUCCUUAAUAUAACACCCAAUAUGAAAUAUUAAGGCUAGGACCCAACACAAUAUUUUAUAACAUGGAAGUGGGAUGCCGUAAUCCAAGCUAUAAAAUAUUUGAAGGCAGGCAAAUGACGAUUCACCAAUUUCCACCAUGAAAAACGAAAUAAUUUAUUAGGUUUUAAUUGGAUUUGAAAAUUCUAGAUCUUUUGAGAUACAUUGAACUUUUCAAUGGCAUGUUUCAAUAUCGACUGUACGCUCUCAAGUUUUGUGAUUGGGAUGUCGAGGAUCGCAAAACAAGGUGUGAAUAACCAUGCAAAUAUACUUGGUACCCUUAAUAUUUAUCACUUAAUCGAUGUGUCGGUUAACCACACGCGAUCCACCGAUCCUAUGAUAAACAUUAAGUUACCCUUUGCCUAACUUGUUAAAUCCAGGUUAGUGUGCCGGUUAACCACACACGCUCCACUAACGAUUUAACCAAAGUGCAAAGUGUAAUUUCAUGGGUUAGCACCAAAUUCACAUUUUCCUAAAGUAACUAAGAUUGGGAAUUUAUAAAAGGUUUAGUUACUUUAUAUUUAUCAUUAUACUUAUAAUGAAGUGAGAAUUAUAGUCCUUGUCCUACCCGAUUGGCUAACGACCCUCCACCAGUCAAGGAAGCGGUAGGUGAGAGUGGACACCCAUUAAACUGUCAUUUUAUAGGCACUAACCUUAUACCCCCCCUUAUAGACCGGCUUCGUGAAUGAGGCCUACUAACGGUAAGACUGACUUUGUUUAUNAACAUAUAAUACUAUAAAGUAUAAGGGUUGAAUUUUAACUUUUAAAAUUCUAAGGGUUUAACUUGGAAUUAAAGUAUUCAUGAGGGGAAACUUUACAAAUUCAAAAACUUGAGGGCAAGUUUUGAACUAUUCAAAAACUUUUGGAUUUUCAUAACUUAGGAGUUUAAUUAAGGUUCUAAAAACUUUAGUGAAGAGACUCUUGAACAUCCAUAACCUGAGGACAAGUUAUGGAGUUCAUAAAACAAAAAGACUCUUUAAUUGUGUAACCUAUGCAUUUUAAUGAAUCUUUAAAAGAAAUGACUUUUGGUAAUCCAUAACUUGAGCAAAAAUUAUGGAGUCCAUUAAAAUACAUUUAGAUCAAGAAUUAACUAACAACCAAUUUGCAAAUAAUUCCUAUAAUCUACCAAAACUCUUAAGUGUAUGAACAAUCAUAUAAAAAAUUUCAAGAAUUACAUAAACACACAUAAAACUUGAAAUUUUGAUAACCUUGAAAUUGGUUUACCAUAACCAUUACCACAUCAAAAAUAGGUUUUAUAAGUCCAAAAUAGUUUAAGGUAAUGAUUAUAGACCCAUUCCAUCCUUAAAAGUCGAAAAUAUGUUGUCAGGGACUCCUACUCGUCGAGUGUAGGAACCUACUCAGCGAGUCCAUUAGUGGACUCGGCGAGUCCAUCAAGGGACUCAGCGAGUCCAGUGCCCAGAAAGCCAGAAUUUUUGAUUUUUAAGUUAUUUCAGCAAGUAUAACUUGAAAACAAGCCUUGGCUCUGAUACCACUGAACGGUUUUAGUAUACUACAACAUCAUAUGGUGCACAUACAACCCUAAAUACCUUGGAUCUAUGUUUUCACUAAUUAUACAUGCAAAUGGUUUCCAAGGCAUUAAACCUAUAACUAGCAUGCAUUCUCAUAUACUAAAUAAGAUACUAAUUAGAGUAACAUACCUUUUGUGUUGUAGCUUGGUUCCAUGGAGCUUAAGAGCCGAGUGCCUCAAGUGUGAUACCUCAAAUGGUUCACAUAACACCAACAAUAACUUGGAUUAACUUGAGAGAAAAUUCCUUAUGCUCAAAUCACUUAGCCCUCGCAUAUGAAAACCUUAGGUCCGAUUUCUUGAGCCAUGGGGUCCUUAUAUAUUGUGGCUAUUAGGGUUACACUAUGUAACUCAUGUCUUUCCAUAUUUUUCAUGCUCCAUGGUUUAAAACCUCUAUGGAUUAUCCAUGGGUUACUCCAUGGGUUUAGCCCAACAUAAACAACUAUGGAUCAUAAGCCCACAUAUAUAAGAAUGAAUGAUUUACACAAAGAAUCCCCAUAUAUUUAAUUAGUCUCCUUUUGAUGACCAAAUUAAUUAUUGAUCAAUACUAUUUAAAUAAGAUGAUUUCGUAUUAAUAUAUUAGAACUUAUAAUAUAUUAACAAAUCAUAAAUAUCCUUUUCUCACAAAGUCUAUCCAAAUUGUUCCGAUGCCAUGCAACCCAAAUGGACCAUGCCAAAUCGGGUCAAGUACAUACCAAUUAUAGUUAUGGACUUAGACACUAAUGCAACAGUGGAGACAAGGGGCACAUGUCCAAAGUUUGCCCGAAGAAAAAUGAAGCAGCAAGGACAAAUACACCGCUAGCGCUGAAAUCAAGAGUAUUCCAGAUGAUCCUUGACGAAGCAUGUGACAAUACGAGGAAUUAUGAAUGAGGACUUUAUAUCCGAAGAUCAAGAUAUAAAGUAGCCAUGCGGAUAGUAUCAUGUGGUGCAGCCUAUUAGAGGCAUAGUAUAGGUUGAACUUGAACAUCUAUGUAAAUGUUUCAAGAAAUAAUAUAAAGCUUGGUAAUGUUAUCCAAUGUGUUAAAUGGCUAUGUGAAAUUCUUGUAUGGUGACUUUGUGAACUGCGAGACAAUACUUGGGACGAGUAUGAGUAGGUGUGAAUGGUAGUAGAGGCCUAUACUACCAGAAGCACAUGACUCACACUUGGAUCAGGGAAAGUCACAAGGUUAACAAGGCACUGAUAAUUGAUUCCGUUUUUUUCAUGUAUGUUGUUACCAUCAUUUCGGUAAUGACUAAGAAGAUGAUGAUUAUCAUUCCGACCCUAGAGGUCAUAUUGAUGUGUGUAAAACCAACUAGUUUUAAUCCUACUAACUUAAACACAAAGACGAACACACGAAGGGCAGUGUACCUAUCGAUUAGUAGUUUAGUUCAAGGAAGUAGGGUAUCGAACACAGGGAACAGUAAAAAAUUUAAAGAAAUGCUAAUAUUAUCUAAAUCAAACAAGUAAUAGAAAGGGGGUUUCUCUAGUUUUGCAAGACUAGAAAGUUAAACAAUUAAUUAAAACUUAAACUAAGAAACUAAGAGCUAAGCAAAUAAAAAUCAACUAAAUUCAAUAAUAAAAAAGGUCUUUUGUUUAGGUUCGACUCAUUUGUUCCCAUGGAUGAUUUCAAUGUAUCAGAUUAAUUCUUCAUUGGCUACCAACUAAGAUGAUUAGUUUCAUGUUCGCUAUUACUAAUCCUUAGGAAACAAAUUAACUCAAGCAAUGGCCAGUUGUCUAAAUUAACGGAUUUCCUAGUUAUUGAUUCGGGUUAAAUAAGACUUGUAAUGGUUAAUUAAAUUGGCCCUUCACUUAACCUCUUGUUGAUGUUCAUCAAACAAGCUCACACAUUAACUUACCUAUCUUCUAGUUAAUUCUAGUUUCACAUUCGUUAUUCCUAGACAUACAACUAUGUGGUCACAAUAAAUCAUAUGAAAUUAAUAACUAAGAGAUGUUCAUACUACUUAAUUACUAAUUUAUUAAUAAAAGAAUAGUUAUUGUUAACAUAUAAGGUUCUUUAACAAGCUUAAUAAAACAUAAUCACCAAUUAAAAUUAAUCCUAAUCAAAUAAUCAAUCCAUGUUCACAAAUUCAUCUACCUAAACAGAAGUUAUGAGUUUUAGCUCAUGAUUACAGCAGAAACAAGCUCAAAAACGAAAUCAAUUGGUAAAAACAUAGUUCAAACAAGAGAUUAGGUAAAGAGUAAACUUGAUUUUGCCUUGAUUCUCCUUAAAAUUGAAUGUAGGGUUGAUUCCCUUGCUUCCCACGCUCCAGCAGCACCUUUAGUCGACAAUUGGCCUCCAAGGGUUCAUCUAUAUGCUAGGGUAUCGAUCUGAAAGUCCCUUUAUAUAGAUUUUCACAAAACAGAGGCUACUCAGCCAGUCCAAUGACCUACUCGGCGAGUCCGUCACUUAAAACCCAUGUACAGCAAGUCAACUCGUCCAGAAUCGCGAAAGUUCGAAGUGACUCGUCGAGUUUAUGGCCUACUCGUUGAGUCUGUUUGGAAUCAGCAUUCACUCAAAACACGAAAGUCGUCCGAAAUUGUGUCUACUUUUCAGAACAUUUUGAAUCUCGUCAAUCGGAGUUACGGUUCAUGAGAUAUGGCCAAAACACUGACGAGGGGUCAAGCUGUCCAGCAACAUCCUUCUUUCUUCAAAAUCCAAGAUCCAAGCGUCCAAUCGCUAGUUCCACUUCCUUUUCCAUCCGAGCAUGUAAUUGUUGCUGAAAAAUGAAAUUAUAAACUAAUUAAGCACCUUUUGUUCAUUAAAUGAGAUAAAAACAACAUAAAGUAUUAAGAUAAUGCAUGAAUUUUAUAACUAAAUAUGCCCAUAUCAAAAUACCCCACACUUGACUUUUGCUUGCCCCCAAGCAAAACUGAAUUUAAGCAUACUAAAAUCAUAUAAGACAAUCCCAAUCGAACCCAGCCAUUAUGUCAAGACCACAACGCAUGCAUUUGUGUCUAAAUUUUUUCCUAAGGACCCCCCUCAAUUCUAAAUACUCAUAAUCCUCAUAAACACUCGCCCACUUCUUUUGAACAACGCUCAUUUUAUGCAUCCCUCCGAAUCCAUCCCCAAAAAACUUUCUUAACCUCAAGUCAUUUUUGGUUAAAUCCCCAAGCAUACAUACGAUAAAAUAACCUAGAAAAGAAAAUUACAAAUACAACUUUUGAUUGAAUCUUUUAUACUUUGUAGCUUUUCUUCAUGAUAUUCUUCUUUGUCUUCAUAGCUUUGUAGAUUCUUUAUUCAAACAUUUCAUCACUCUUUUUUUCAACUUUUUUUUCUUUUUUUUUUCUUCUUUUUUUCUCUUUUUUUUUCUUUUUUUUUUCAACACACUUUUUCCAUUCAAAAUAAAAACCUAGAAAAACAUAUGCUUAAGCAAGGGAAUUUAACUUCAUCCUUUAUUGGUUAAAGGCAUUAGUCUAGUGUGGAAUGACUACUUAAGCUUUCCUGGAUACAUUUCUGGUACACGAUGCUAAACAUAUUGUGUCCCUCAAACUAAGCGAGGUUGUGUUUUUGUCCCAUGAUUUCAAUAGAAUAAGGGAAGCCACAAAUGCAUUAUAACGUGUAUAGGCUCAACUAAACAUUUAGGUCCUCAAAGAAUCAUCGAACAUAAUACUUGCAUGAACCCUAAUUACUUUUACCAAAAUUUUCUAAAUUAAUCCUAGCAAAUUUUAUGCAAAAUUUUAAAAUUUAACUAGUGUAACCAACCAACCCCCUACCCCACACUUAAUUUAUGCAAUGUCCCCAUUACAUAUCAUGCAUGAUAAAGAACAAUAAAAAUAAGGAGAGAAUUGGAACAAACUCCCCUGGGAUAGUAGUGGCGAUGUUGAUAUCUAUUCUCUUCAGCUCCAUCUUCAAUUGACUUUAGACAUGGGAACUGCUCAUCCAUGCCUUGGGUGUCAAAAUCUCGUGUGGUGCAGUUCCAAUUAUAAGGGACAAACUCUUGGAAAUGCUCGGAAAACGAUCUUCAAAGAAUAGAACCAAUGCCCAUAUCCACUGUCAUCAAAUCUUCAACUCAAAAGUAAGAAGAAUGAGCGACUCGUCGAGUAAGUAUGUAGACUCGCCGAGUUGAAGCGUAAAUGGCAGAAGAAUCGUGAAUUUUCACAUGGACUCGGCGAGUCGAUAAGAUGCACUCGGCGAGUAGAACGUUGUGUGACAAAAAUUUUAUUCUGCCCAAGUCCGUUUCUGAUGUAUGGGGGUUAUAUAAACUAAUAAUUUCCCUCAUUUUUUUCAGGGAAUAAACACUCUAUGACGCUUCUAUUAAUUGGACUUAUAGCUUGACUCAAAACUUCGUUUCCUCUCUCGCCUAGACUCGAUUUCUCGCUUCGUCAGCCUUGACUCUAGACCCUCACAUGUAAUCCUAAGCUUCAAACUGAAAAGAUCAAAACAACACACAAGUAAUAGAAAAAUGAAAUCAAACAUCAAAAUUAAAUUCCUAAAUUACCAUAAUAAACUAGAAGUUUAGAAAGAAAAAGAAAAGCAAACUCUAAUGACGGGUUGCCUCCCGCAAGCGCUUCUUUUUGUGCGAGUCUUGAGCUGGACUCCCAAUUUAAUAAACAUUCAAUAAACUCAAUGCCAAUCCAUCCAUUGCAUUAAAUAUUUUUUUGGACCAAAUUGUAAAAUUUGGCUCUUUGCUUCAAAAAUUGGCCAAACGAGCUUUAAUUCAUGUAACCCAAGAAACUUGACAAGGGUUGGAACCGGUUGGAUACUAAUCAUAAAUGGAUCGUGAUUUAGAACUUUUUCCAAAGUUGGAAUCGUCACCCCAUGCUUCGAAACACAAACCGGAAGAACAGGGGACCAUGUCGUGGUAAUGGUCAAACCACGAGUUGGUUCCUGCAAUUCAGCUUGUUCUUGUUCUUCUUCUGAACUCUCUGCUAGCAAUCUUUCCAGCCCAUCCAAGUCUCUUUUUGGAUUAAAUUCUUCAUCUUGUAACUCAGAUGUCCCUUUUGUGUUGGGCAAGAUGUUAUCUAACCAUCUAUCAAAUUUCUUCAAAUCUUCAUCUGAGUCAUAAUCCUUAUUUUUGCAGGGCCAUAAAGGUCUANNNNNNNNNNNNNNNNNNNNNNNNNNNNNNNNNNNNNNNNNNNNNNNNNNNNNNNNNNNNNNNNNNNNNNNNNNNNNNNNNNNNNNNNNNNNNNNNNNNNNNNNGAACCGUUCCCCGGCAACGGCGCCAAAAACUUGAUGUGUGUAAAACCAACUAGUUUUAAUCCUACUAACUUAAACACAAAGACGAACACACGAAAGGCAGUGUACCUAUCGAUUAGCAGUUUAGUUCAGGUAAGUAGGGUAUCGAACACAGGGAACGGUAAACAAUUAAAAGAAAUGCUAAUAUUAUCUAAAUAAAACAAGUAAUAGAAAGGGUGUUUCUCUAGUUAUGCAAGACUAGACACUUAAACAAUUAAUUAAAACUUAAACUAAGAAACUAAGAGCUAAGCAAAUAAUAAUCAACUAAAUUCAAUAAUAAAGAGGACUUCUGUUUAGGUUCGACUCAUUUGUUCCCAUGGAUGAUUUCAAUGUAUCGGAUUAAUUCUUCACUGGCUACCGACUAAGAUGAUUAGUUUCAUGUUCGCAAUUACUAAUCCUUAGCAAACAAAUUAACUCAAGCAGUAGCCAGUUGUCUAAAUUAAUGGAUUUCCUAGUUAUUGAUUCGGGUUAAAUAAGACUUGUAAUGGUUAAUUAAAUUGGCCCAUCAACCUCUUGCUGAUGUUCAUCAAACAAGCUCACACAUUAACUUACCUAUCUUCUAGUUAAUUCUAGUUUCACAUUCGCUAUUCCUAGACAUACAACUAUGUGGUCACAAUAAAUCAUAUGAAAUUAAUAACUAAGAGAUGUUCAUACAACUUAAUUACUGAUUUAUUAACAGAAGAAUAGUUAUUGUUAACACAUAAGGUUCUUUAACAAGCUUAAUAAAACAUAAUCACCAAUUAAAAUUAAUCCUAAUCAAAUAAUCAAUCCAUGUUCACAAAUUCAUCUACCUAAACAGAAGUUAUGAGUUUUAGCUCAUGAUUACAGCAGAAACAAGCUCAAAAACGAAAUCAAUUGGUAAAAACAUAGUUCAAACAAGAGAUUAGGUAAGAGUAAACUUGAUUUUGACUUGAUUCUCCUUAAAAUUGAAUGUAGGGUUGAUUCCCUUGCUUCCCACGCUCCAACAACACCUUUAGUCGACAAUUGGCCUCCAAGGGUUCAUCUAUAUGCUAGGGUAUCGAUCUGAAAGUCCCUUUAUAUAGAUUUUCACAAAACAGAGGCUACUCGGCGAGUCCAGUGACCUACUCGGCGAGUCCGUCACUUAAAACCCGUGUACGGCAAGUCAGCGCGUCCAGAAUCGCGAAAGUUCGAAGUGACUCGUCGAGUUUAUGGCCUACUCGUUGAGUCCGUUUGGAAUCAGCAUUCUCUCAAAACACGAAAGUCGUCCGAAAUUGUGUAUAGUUUUCAGAACAUUUUGAAUCUCGUCAGUCGGAGUUAUGGUUCAUGAGAUAUGGCCAAAACACAGACGAGGGGUCAAGCUGUCCAGCAACAUCCUUCAUUCUUCAAAAUCCAAGAUCCAAGCUUCCAAUCGCUAGUUCCGCUUCCUUUUCCAUCCGAGCAUGUAAUUGUUGCUGAAAAAUGAAAUUAUAAACUAAUUAAGCACCUUUUGUUCAUUAAAUGAGAUAAAAUCAGCAUAAAGUAUUAAGAUAAUGCAUGAAUUUUAUAACUAAAUAUGCCCAUAUCACAUAUCAUAUCGAUUCCGACUAAGACGAGUAUGUUACGCGGUUCAAAGAACCAAGAUCGUUGUAGCAUCUGAUUUAAGCCAGAAGAACGAAAAGAAAAAUAAUCGAAGCAAUCAGUAGAAGUAUCAUGAUUGUUGUUCAAGUAAGAAGCUUGUAGCUAAAAGUGCUACAUGCUAGAAUGUGAUUAAAUCACAUUAGAACAUCAAGGAAGGUAUAUUCCAUUAUGGAAUUUGACUCUAAGAGACCUAAGUCUAAGCAUUGAAUCAUUACGACAUGAGGUCAUUGGAACAUGACCCAUCGAUUUGUCAUGAUAAUCAAAGUAAAGAACUUCUCUUAAGUUAAUUUUGUUUAAGAUGAAGUAGGAGUCUCCAUAAAGGAUCAAUUUUCUAAAUCGAAGGUUACGAUUGGAAUUCCAAAAUUGGAUAAAGACCGGGUGUAAGAUUAAGCAUCACCUGCAGUCAAGAAGUCCAAGAGUUAAAUACUCAUAUGAAGGAACAAAAGAGUUACGUUUAUUACCUAGGAUGAAGAGAUAAUGUAUGGAGUCAUUAUACAAGCCCUGUUGCGUUGAUGAUUCCAAGACGUAAUCAUCCUAAGGGGGAGAUAAUUGUAACGCCAGCAGAUUCAGGCUAGUCAAUUUAGAGAUAAUAAGUGUCAAAAACGAAUUUUUGAUAGAAGAUUAUUUAGAAUAAAUAAUCUUAACUAGGUUGUAGUAUAUGUCACAAGAGUUUCGUAUAUAUAAAGAACACUGAAAUCCGAGUUAUAACGAAGAAGUUAUGACAUGUCGAAGUUUCGAGACAAAACUGGCACGACGUUGUGUUAUGUGAAAAGUACGUUUGUGUUAAAAUACUUUUUAGCCUUAGCGAUCUAAACGAAAGUCUUACUAUACAUUAAACUCAGAGCAUGCAUAAAAAGAACACCCAAAUCUGACUUUGUAUGAGGAAGUUAUGAUUUUUCUAAGAUUUGGCAUAAUAGUAUGCAACCCGAAAUUCAAAUUUUAGAUCGACCGAUUUUUAGCCGACACAACCUAAACGAGAAUCGAAGAUGUAGUUAAUAGGAGCUCAAUGAUAAAAAAGACAGACUAAAAUGGACAUCGGAUGAAGAAGAGCUUUUCGGCUUGGAAGUUCUGCCUCACAGAGCCCGAUUCCUAGCCAAACCCAUCUGUAAGUGAGAUAUGCUUACCCUACAUUAAGUAUAGCUUAAGUUUAAGUUCAAUAUCAUUAUUAUGAACAUAUAAAAAAUAUAUCUUAUAAAAUAUAAUAUACAAAGUGUUAUUAUAAGAUCUUUUAACUACUCGCAGUACAGAGAAUCUGGUUUGAAGGCCCACCUAGGUUGUUGGAUUUCAGAAGUGAUAUAAUCCUAAAAUCGUCCUGCCCUCCGGUGUUUCAUGUUUUGCCCCUUGUCAAUACAUAGUGGUUGAAAAGCAUUGUUUAACACUUAUAAAACAAUAUCACUUGUAAUUAUUCGCAAUAAAUACUAGACUAAAAUCUAAUAGUAAUAAUACUAGGUUUCGUCGAAGGAAAAAAAAUUAUUAGAAACGUAUCGCUGCCCAAGUUUGGAAUCAUCACAUUAAUAAGUGAGCGCAUAGUUACUUUUAUCUUACACAUAUAUAUGAAGUAUUUGAUAUAAAUUACGUGCUAUGUGUGCAUAUUAUCUGUGUUCUUGAUAUCUAUGUUGGAUGAACAAAAUAUACAUGUUUUAUUUGAUUUAAAAUGUAUACAUAUUUUAUACCUAUAAUUUUAAUAGGUAAAGAUCGGUAGAUGAAAUAUGAGAUGAGAGAUGAAAGAUGAGAUGAAUGAUUAACAAUGAGAAAUGAAAGAUGAUAUAGAUGAUGAAAGGUGAAAGAUGAUGAAAAGCCUUGACCCAAACGAUGGCCCAAUCAUCUAGCAGAGUAUAGAUGAAAACCACGGGAUAUUCUAGACAGUCCAGUGGAACACUAGCAGGAUCGCAACCUGUAGGUGUUGUGAAUGAUAUGUUCACCAAAUGUACUCUGAAAACCCUGACAGUUAUGGACUUAGUGCCUCACAAAUGAACAUUCGAAACUAUGGAUUUAGUGCCCUAUAGAUGAAUAUUGGCAGUUAUGGAUUUAGUUCCAUACAAAUAAACAUUGGCAGCUAUGGAUUUAGUGCCCUAUAGAUGAACCUUGACAGCUAUGGACUUAGUGCCUAACAAAUAACAUCAACAUCUAUGGGCGUAGUGCCUGUUAUAUAAAUCGUGGCGGCGAUGGACUUCAUGCCUAUUCUUAGGACAAUCCUUAGAAAUAAAUAUUGAGGAAUAGAUGAUUCUUAGGGAAGAUACUUAAGAAAAAAGAAGAUAAUGGGGAUGAGUAAUUGGGUUAAUUGUUUGAUGGUGAAACUUAAUAACUUUAUUAUUGUGGGUUGGAAACCCUAUGUACUUACCAGGUUCCCCAACCUCACCGACUCAAUUUAUUUGUAUCAUAGGUGUCGAUACGAAGCUACAUUACACGGAGAUAUUAACGGAGAUGUAGAUCAUUAGUAUAAAAGAACGUAAGGUCUGUUUCUGCUUAUGGUUCUCUAUUGACGAUGACAUCCCAAUUGUUUUUAAUAUAUAUAAAAUACAUUUCUUUGAAAAUGCUUUGACAAUAUAUUUAUCAUGAUUUCUGGGAACAAAUUCCGCAAUAACAUUCUUUAAAAUGAAUACUCCGAUUUUCAAAUAUACAUAAAUAAAAUUUUUAAAAUGACCAUGAAUUUGGGGAUGUCACAGAAUGCCAACACACUAUGAGUCCAAUCAACCAUCAGGUUUGAAUACCCCAGGCCUAAUCAGCCAUCAGGUUGGAAUGCCAAUAUACAAUGGGUCCAGUAAUCCUUGGGAUGGAAUACCCUCAGGCCCAUUCAACCAUCGGGUUGGGAUGCCCCGGCUUGUUGGCUUACGUACAAAGCAAAGAACCCCCAGCCACCAAUCAAACAUGUGCACAUAUAACAGAUUAUCAUAUAACAGUCUACAGCCAGUCAAACAGAUUUACAGAUCACUAAGCAUAGCAACAUUUUAUCUACCAAGUUACCGAUCUAACAGAUCAUAACAGCACAACAACAUCCUAUCUAUUAGGAUAUUGAUCUAACAGAUCAUAACAGUACAGUAGCAUGCAUAAUAGUAUAUCAAUCCAAUGGGUCGACAUUGCUUCUUUCGACCCGCAAGUACAAUGAGGACAACUCACCUCGAUAGUUGAACCCACGAAUAAUCUUUGACUGUAGAUCCGCUAGAAACCCCGCGCUAUCAAACAAACAACACCUAAUUAACACAUGAGUUUCAAACCAUAUCCAUAAAUCCACAAACAAUCCAACUAAUCAGGCCUACUAAUAGCUCAAGCCCAUUGGGCCUACUAAGGCCCAAACCAUUGGGCCCACUAAGGCCCAAGUCCAUCAAUCCUAGGCCAAGAAAGGAAAGCCCAAACAAGAGUCCAAGACUCUAAGAUUCCUCUGCCCAAUAAACCCAAACCCAAGUCUAAAUCCCAAAGAAUGAACAAGACCAAAAGUCCACAACUGAACAUAUGUGGUGCGUACCCCCUAGGUAAUACUCGAUGAUUUUGGAUGGGGUCUCAGACCAGUACGCGAGGCGUACUUGCAUUUACGUUGGGCGUACUUGCAACUUUUCCAAAACAUUAACCAUGACAUAAUCCCUUAAGUCCUUUGCAACCAAACCUCAUAAAGCCUUCAGUAUAAGUUCUUAACUGAUAAAGUUGGCAACUUUAUCAGUUUGCAUAUCUUAAUGGGAGCCAACUUCCAAAUAUAACCAUUAAGACCCACAUUAAGCACCUUAACACAUGCAUGGUCCAUUCUUAAACAUCAAGCAAGCGUUUUUACGAACUUAUAAACUUAGAAAGGGCAAGAUCUAGCAAUCCUAUCUCCUAAAGUGGCUCAAACUCAUAAGGAGGACUCAAAACUCCAAAAUAAGCAUAAAUCUAGUCUUAAACCCAUAAAGCAUAACAAGAAGCCAAGGUAUGAACUUGAUACCUUAAAUGAGCUAGAAAUAAAAGCCAAGAGUUUGGAUCUAAGUCUUCCUUUGAACCCCAAGUUAGCACCAAACACCUUUUCCUUGUAAAUGAGCAAAAGCACACCAAAAUGCACACUUAGAUCUCACAACACUCAACGAGAGGUUAGGGUUUUUGAAAUGAGGCUAGAGGUCAGUGGAGGCUGAGAAAUGAGAGAACCUUGACCUUACAAGGAUGUUUAAAUAGUGCAUAAGCCCUAAAAAUUAGGGUUUGGCACUCUGCCAGUUAUGUUGGGCGUAUGCGACCAAACACGUGCCUAAUUUCCUUGCAUGCAUGGGACCAACUAGAAAAACUUUUCUAAUAUAGGCCAUAUUUGCCAAUUAUUCAAACUUCCAUAACUCCCUCGUCUUAGGUCCGUUUCUGUCACAACCCCAAAACCGGAACGGCGGAAACGUUCUGGGGUGGAUGACGUCAUGUCAAGUAUCACAACAUAUGCAGUAUAGUAAUCAAAGUACAACAACCAUUGCAUUAAUAGUAAUAGUUUUACAUAAGUUACAUUUCAUAGCAACAUCAAAGUAAUACAAGUAAUAAUAUAGGUGCAGCUUGGUACUAGGCUGACUUUGCCAAAAGCUCCUGGGGUCUACCUGUUUAUUGCUGACCUGAGAAUACAAGUUAUUUUAAAUGCGAGUAUCAUCAUUUUUAUAAAUGCUGGUGAGUUCAUAAGUAUUCAGUGUCAUUUGUGUAAGUGAGCAUUUUAUUCAAAAUAACUUUAUAAAAAGUAGUAGUUUAGAAUCUACGGUGUAUUAGAGUCCUAUCCAGAAAAUCCUAUAUUUUCUAAAUAAAAGCAGUCUUCUACCAAGACUCGACAGAGUUAUGUUUUAAAGAGUAAUUUUCCCCGAAAUACUAUCAUAACCAAAAUACGGUAUUUGAUUUUUAAUGAAAGUGGGAGGAUAUCACUAGUAAAAAUACUAGGGGAAAAUAACAUAUGCCUCAGCAGAAAAUACUGCUGACUAAGGCAAAAGAAAUCAUAGACUCCAAGAGAGUAUCGAAUGAAUGAUACGCCUGGCUCAGUCUAACAAAAGAAAACAUAGACCCUAGACGGUAUCAAAUGUACGAUACAGCUAGCAAGGUCUAAAACAAAGAAACACAUACCCCAGACAGUAUAAAAUGAAAGAUACAGCUAGCAAGGUCUAAAACAAAGAAACACAGACCCCAGACAGUAUCAAAUGAAAGAUACAGCUAGCAAGGUCUAAAACAAAGAAACACAGACCCCAGACAGUAUCAAAUGAAAGAUACAACUAGCAAGGUCUGAAACAAAGUGAAAUCUUAAAUGGGUUGUUUUAAGAAUACAGUGUUAAAUUCUCGUUACCUUAAGGCCAUGAAUUAUAAGGUACACAUGGAGAUACCCGUAACCAUACUGAUUGACACUAGAGUACUUGACGCCCUGCAAACGUCAGAAUAAAUGUGACAUUUGUCACCCCUUGGCUUGGUAGGCCGUGGACUGUAGCUAGCAGUCAGGGUGUGGGAGUGUCAGUCCCGUAUAGAUCUAUACACACAAUGCCCACUCUCCCUACAGGAGAAUCUGGUUACCAACUCGACAACGAGGAGAUCCGUGUCUUGAAGAUGCAUCUUGUAUAGUGAAUUCUGAUGUAAGUGUUGGACUAACGAUAGAGACUCACAACUGAACUAACUCCUUUGGAAUUCGCGUACUAGAAAGAGUAAAUAGAGCUUCCUAACUAUUCCUAUAAUAGUUACUAGUGUCCCUGAUCUAUGAGUGACGAGUGGGAGGAUGCCCUUGCUACCCAAGGAACAUGAACUGGUCGAUGGAAACCUUAAUGUCUAUACAUGUAUACAUGAUAUAUAAUUAAUGAUUAAACAACCUUCGGACGAAUAUCCGAUACCCACCAGACGACAUCCAAACGAGGAAAAGGAAAUAGGGCGAACUAGCCUUCCUAAGUCUUUUAAACAUUAUUUAUAUAACUAUACAAGUACAGGCAUGCAUUUAAUGAAGCAGAAGUAUAGAAGUAUAGAAGAAAACUUUGGUAAAACUUUUGGAAAACCUUUAAAAAUAAGAAUAUUACGACUUGAUAUAGUUAUGUAAAACAAGCUUUGAAAACCGUUCAUAAACACGUUUUGAAUAUAAUUUGAUAACACAAUAUAAGUAAAGAAAACCUCUGUUUAAAAACCCUGUUGUAACUGGUUUAGAAGUAAAACAUACCGCACGAGAGAUAAGUUGAGAAAAGAUUUAAACAAAUAAAAACGUUUUGGAAAAACCAUCUAUGGUAUUAUACUUGGUAAAACAACUGAAAGUGUGAUAAAUCCUUGUGCAUGCGGGUUAUUAAUCACAUAUAAUUGAUAUGAUAACUAGCAUGUUUUAACCUGUAUUCCCCCCCCCCCCCCAAAAAAGCAUGCAAAACAUUAAAAAGCAUUUCAAAGGUUAAUUAANACACACCUGUUGUAAGUGGAUCGGGCGGAGGUGUCGGUUGGGUGCUCGGUGUCAAUUAAAGAAUUGAACACACUUAGUGACCUAUUAACAUAUGAUGACAUAUGUUUACAUACAAUUAGUAAUUAUAAUACUAAUUAAACACGUAAACGCAUCCUAAUGUGCGGAAAACACUUUGGUCAAGUGCUAGGAGGCUAUUGGGUUGCAAAUAAGGGAGUGUAUGGCCUAGAUAGGGAGUUUACUCUUCAAGAGUAAACUCUUUAUAGAGUUUACGGCCCUAAGACCAUAUCCCCAUGAGUUUACGGUCGUAGAGUUGGAGCGGAUCAUUUUAUAAGGAAGGUAAAGCAUGUGAAGCAGUAGAAAAUGGUAUAUCAUAGAGCUUCAAUUCAGUAAUUAUGGAGGAAAGGACUAAACCACUUCUUACUAUGUUGGAGGAGCUCAGAAUGUAUGUUAUGGAGAGGUUUUAUAGGAUGUCUACAAUACACUUAACAUGGAGGGGAGAUGUAUACCCUACAAUAUUGACAAAGUUGGAUGACUGGUGUAAAGAUAUGAGGUAACAUUAUUGACUAACAUUAUUCAAUAUUCAGUAAGAUUAUUCAGUAAGAUUAUUCACUAACAUGUAUUGCAUGAAUUACAGGUUGUGGAGUGUUGUAGCUAGUGACACAAAUGUAUUUGAAGUGAGACUAGGAUUUGAGUCUUUUACGGUGGACUUAGGAGAACAAUUCUGCACUUGUAGAUUAUGGGAAAUAUCUGGGAUUCCAUGUAACCAUGCAUGUGCAGCUACGAACCACACACAACUGUUGGAUAAGGUGUCUAAGUCCAUAACUAUUUCGGGCUUGUACUUGACCCGACCCGGCAUGGUCCAUUUGGGUUGCAUGGCACCAUGCAAUUGGAUAGACUAAAUGAGAGAAAUAACACUUGGAGAUUAUUAAUAUAUUAUAAGUUCUAAUAUAUUAAUAAUAUUAUUUAAUUAGUUGAUCAAAGAAUUAAUUUGGAAUUAAUUAAGUGAUCAAAGGAUAACUAAUUAAAUAUAUGGGUUGGUUAUGUAAAUCAUCCAUAUCUUGUAUAGUGGGCUAAGAGGCUCCAUGGAUUAUCAAGUUGGGUUCUACCCAUAGGAUGCUCCAUGGAUGCUCCAUGGGAGUUACAAACCCAUGGGUCAUGGAAAUGAAGAGUCAUGACACAUUAGGGUUUACAUGGUGUAACCCUAGAUGUGUCAACACUAUAUAAGAAUCAUAUUCUCCACCAAAAUCGGCUACACUAAGAAACUAGAGGGCUUGGCCGAUUUUGAGAAGUGUGUGUUAUCUCAAGAGUCUUUCCAAGAGCAUUUGGUGUUGUGUGAAGCAUUUGAGGCAUCACACUUGGGGUGCUAGGCUCACAAGGUUUCAAGGAACACAAGCAACAACAAGGUAAGUUAUUCUAUCUAUGAUUCAAGUUAAAAUUGUUCCCCAUGUAUGCUAGAUAGGAAUAUAACCUUGGAAUUCAACUUUGCAUGAUAAUUAGACAAACAUAGAUCCAAGGUUAUUAGGGUUGCAUGUACACUUAGGAAGUGUUAGAAUGCUCAAAACCCAUCAGUGGUAUCAGAGCCUAGGCUUGUUUGUUUGUUAUUUGUGCUUAAAAGUUGAAGAAAGUCGAAAAUCUUGCUGUCUGACUGAUGGACUCGGCGAGUCCAUGGGGAGGACUCGUCGAGUUCAUGUGUAUCUUCAACCUACUCGGCGAGUAGGUUUAUGCACUCGGCGAGUAGGGUCGACAGAGUGCAGAAUUUCGACUUGAGUUGCUGGAAAUGGAUUAGAAUCAUUACCCUAAAAUGUUUUGGUACUUGAAAACUUAUUUUAGAAGGUGUAAUGUCUUUUCUAACUCAUUUACAACAACUAGUUAUCAAAAUUACAAAGAUUAAAUGUGAUUUUGAUUCUUGAAAGUGUUCAUAUUCAUAUUCUUGUUCUUAUGAUGUUUAGAUGAUCAUAGGAAUUAUUUGUAACCUAUGUGGUAGAUUAAUUCAUGAUCAUAAUGUGUUUUAAUGGAGUCCAUAACUUGUCCUCAAGUUAUGGAAAACCAAAAGUCUCUUGGAUUAAAAACCAUUAAAAGAACACAAGAGUUAGGAAAAAUGAAAAGUCCUCAUUUUAUUACUCUAUUAAACUCAUAAGUUACAAGAAAUGAAAAGUUUUGAAAGUUUACAAAACUUGCCCUCAAGUUUUGGAACAAGUAAAGUUAAGUUAAAACUUUAGUUCCAACCCCUAGAAUUUUAAAAGUUAAAAUUCAACCCUUAUACUUAUAUUAUUAUGAUUUAAUAAUUAUAUAUAUAUGUAUAAGAACAAAGUCGUCUUACCGCUAGUACGCCUCAUUCACGAAGCCGGUCUAUAAGGUGGGUAUAAGGUUGUUGCCUAUAAAAUGGUGACUUAAUGGGUGUCCACUCUCACCCACCGCUUGCUUGAUCGGUGGAGGGUCGUUAGCCGAACGGGUAAGACAAGGACUUAUUAAUUCUCAUUCAAAGUAUGAUGAAUAUUAUAAAGUAACUAAAUGUUUUAUUAAAUUCCCAAUCUUAGUUACUUUAGGAAAAAUGUGAAUAAGGUGCUAUUCCAUGAAAUUACACUUUACACUUUGAUUAAGUCGUUGGUGGAGCGUGUGUGGUUAACCGGCACACUAACUUGGACUUAACAAGGUAGGUAAAGGGUGACUUAGGGUUUAUUAUAGUAUCGAUGGAGCGUGUGUGGUUAACCGGCACAUCGAUUGAGUGAUAAACUUUAAGGGUACCAAGUGAUUUGCAUGGUUACUUCACACCUCGUUUUGUGAUCCUCGGUAUCCCAGUCACAAAACUUGGAGGGCACACUCGAGAUUGAAACAUGCCUUUGAAAAGUUCAUUGAAUCUCAAAGAAUCUAGGAAUUUCUAAGAACCAUUCAAAAACCUAAUACUAAAAUAUUGCGGUUUUCGUGGUGGAAAUUGGUGAAUCGUCAUUCACCUACCUUUCAAAUAUGAUAUAGCUUAGAUUACGGCAUACCUCUUCUAAGUUAUAUUAUAUUGUGAUUGGAUCCUAGCCUUAAUAUUACAUUUGGGUGUUUUAUUAAGGACUCUCUUAUAUCUAAACUAAUCUUGUCCUCUUUCCUUCAGAUGUCUUUCAACAAUGCUUCUGGCUCUAAUCCUAAUGGCUCCUUUACCCUUAUGAACUUGUGUGGGAAAGUCACCUUUGAUGGAUCCAACUUCAAUGAGUGGAUCAGAAACAUCAGGAUGAUUACCCGCUACGAGGACAAAGAAUAUGUCCUUGACAAGGAGCUUAAGGAGAUUGAUGAGUCCACUGCAACUCCUCAGGAGAUCGCUGAAUUUCGGGCACAUGAAAGGGAUGCUACGAAAGUGGCUUGCAUCAUGAUGGCCACGAUGACAGCGGAACUCCAAAAGUCUUAUGAGGAUUUCUACCCUUAUGAAAUGCACCAAGAUUUGAUGGAAAGAUACCAUCAAAGUGCAAGACAAGAGAGGUAUGAAAUCAUCUGCUCCAUGAUAACAACCAUGAUGAAGGACGGGGAAUCCGUCACGAGCCACAUGCAGAAAAUGCAAAGGUAUGUGGAUCGUUUGCUGAAGCUUAAUGUGAACUUCCCGGAGGAUCUUGCAAUAGAUAUUAUUUUGCAUUCCUUACCAUCGUGCUAUGAUCAAUUCCGCAUGACAUAUCACAUGAACAAGGAAGAAGUCACCCUCAGCAAACUUCAGGGACUUCUCAAGACCGCAGAAUCAGGUCUUAAGGGGAAGUCGGUUGCUAUCACUCCUACUCAAAACUCUACUCCGGUUUUGGCAAUCGGGAAAAGUCGAGGGAGGAAGAGAAAGAGCUCUUCUAAGGGUACCAAGGUUCGGACCCUUGAUGGCUCUUCUUCAAGUGGAACCAAGAAAGGUUUCAUUACUCCUUCUUCUGACCCAAAAGAGGCUGAAUGCUUCUAUUGCCAUGAAAAAGCUCAUUGGAAGCGGAACUGCCCAAAAUACCAGCAAGAUGUGAAGGAUGGGAAAGUUAAACCCAACCAUGCAGGUAUUUACACUAUCAUUUCUAAUAACUCACCCCAUUCUAAUUCUUGGGUCCUUGAUACCGGGUGUGGUAUUCACAUUUGUUGUGACUUGCAGGGACUAAGAAGAAGUGAGGAUGUGGAGCAAGGAAGGAUAAACUUGAUCAUGGGGAAUAGGAAAGCUAUACCUGUUACCAAGAUUGGAGUUUAUACUUUAUCGCUAAGUAGUGGGUUUAGUUUAGAUUUGAAUAAGUGUUGUUAUUCGCCAGGAAUGGCAAGAAAUAUUAUUUCCUUUCAUGCUUUGUACAAACAAGGGUUUACCUUUUCAUUUAAUAAUGAAGUUGGUUCUAUAGAUGUUUUCUAUAAUAAUGUCUUUUAUUUUAAAGCAUUACCUUGUGAUGGUGUGUAUGAAGCUGUAUCUGUUGUAGAUAACUUGGGAAAUAAUGUUUUGUGUAUUGAUUCUACUAAUAAUAACUUGGAUAAAGCAUCUUUAUGGCAUUGUCGUCUUGGACAUAUAAGCAAGAAACGCAUAGGCCAACUCCAAAAGGAUGGAGUCUUGGAGUCGUUUGACCUAAAGUCAGAUGAUAGUUGCGAAUCAUGCUUACUUGGAAAAAUGACAAAGUCACCCUUCACAGGUUCGUGUGAGAGGGGUGAAGGUUUGUUGGACCUUAUACACACGGAUGUGUGUGGACCAUUCAAACAUGCCACAAGGGAUGCUAAUCGUUAUUAUUUGACUUUUACUGAUGAUUAUAGUAGAUAUGGAUAUGUCUACUUGAUCAAGCAUAAGUCAGAGACUUUCGAGAGGUUUAAGGAAUUUAAACAGGAAGUCGAGAAUCAAUUGGGCAGGAACAUUAAGAUGCUUCGAUCCGAUCGUGGUGGUGAGUAUCUUAGUUCAGAGUUCCUCGACUAUCUAAGGGAAUGUGGGAUAGUCUCACAAUUGACACCUCCCAGGACACCACAGUUGAAUGGUGUGGCUGAGAGGCGUAAUCGAACCUUGUUAGAUAUGGUUCGUUCCAUGAUGAGUCGAGCUACGCUACCAAUCUCAUUCUGGGGGUAUGCCUUAGAGACUGCCGCCCAUAUUCUUAAUCUAGUCCCUACAAAGAAAGUUGCCAAAACUCCUCACGAGAUGUGGACUGGUAAAGUACCUAAACUAGACCACAUCAAGAUUUGGGGUUGCGAGGCUUUCGUGAGACGCGAGACUCAUGAUAAGCUCGAACCUCGAAGCGAGAGGUGUAUUUUCAUCGGUUACCCACAGCGAUCCUUUGGUUACCUCUUCUACAGACCUAGUGACAAUGUGGUCUUUGUAGCAAGAAGAGGAGUCUUUCGAGAAAGAGAGUUUAUAAGCCAAGGAGACAGUGGGAGGCAAAUUGAUCUUGAAGAAAUUCAAGAAUCAAGCGGUGAAGGAACUUCAAACUCUAGCCCUCAACUUGAGGAGGAAACUCCUGUUGAGCCAAUUGACAAAUCUGUACCUCUGAGACGUUCCACGAGAGUUAGGAGUGCACCUGAGCAUUACUAUGGAUUCCAUAUUACUGCAGAAGGUGAGACACUUAUUAGUGAUGAGACACUAGUAAGUCAAGAUGACCCUAACAGCUACGAGGAAGCCAUGGCAGGCCCCGAGUCUGCUAAAUGGAAAGAGGCUAUGGAUAGCGAGAUACAAUCCAUGUAUGACAAUCAAGUUUGGAACUUGGUUGAAAAUGUACCAGGUCGUAAGACAGUAGGGUGCAAAUGGGUCUUCAAGAAGAAGACCGACAUGGAUGGUAAAGUACACACUUAUAAGGCUAGACUGGUUGCAAAGGGCUUCUCUCAAAUUCCUGGAGUGGAUUAUGAUGAGACCUUUUCUCCGGUAGCCAAGAUUAAGUCUAUUCGGGUUCUGUUAGCCAUAGCUGCAUUUCAUGACUAUGAAAUAUGGCAGAUGGAUGUCAAAACCGCUUUCCUUAAUGGAAAGUUGGCUGAAGAUGUUUACAUGAGUCAGCCAGAGGGUUUUGUCAGCAACGAGUACCCUAAUAGAGUGUGUAAGCUUGAGAAAUCCAUUUAUGGAUUGAAGCAAGCACCUCGCAGAUGGAAUCUUUGCUUUGAUGAAAAGGUCAAGGAAUUUGGCUUUUCUAGGAGUGAAGAUGAAUCUUGUGUGUAUGUCAAGGCUAGUGGGAGUAUAGUUAGCUUUUUGGUAUUGUAUGUGGAUGACAUACUACUCAUAGGAAACGACAUUCCAACCCUGCAGGAAGUAAAGUCCUGGCUUGGGAAGUGUUUCGCUAUGAAGGACCUUGGUGAAGCUGCCUAUAUUCUAGGGAUAAGAAUCUUGAGAGAUCGGAGUAAAAGACUAAUUGGACUUAGUCAGAGUACCUACUUGGAUAAGGUGCUGAAGAGAUUCAGCAUGCAGGAUUCCAAGAAAGGAGAGUUACCCAUCCAGAGUAACACCAGAUUGAGUAAGACACAAAGCCCUAGCA
rnacentral:lncRNA from 1 species